rnacentral:lncRNA from 1 species
UUUAAAAUUUAAAAGAUUAGAAAAUAAAGUGAAAUUUUGAAAAAUUAGAGAAGCACUAUUAAUAUAGCUUAUUUUAUUAUUAAAAGGUAGGUUCAUCGAAUCUGAUCAUUAUGUAGCAACAAAAUUUGAUUAGAUUCUGCAAAUCUAGUUUUUUCAGAUAAAAAUAAGUUCUUUAAUUAAAGAUAGUGUUAAAACUAUUUUUGUUAGUGCAAGAAUACAUAUAGAUAAAAAAGUAUAAGACUUUUCUGAAUUAUACACUAUUUUAAAUUUUUAAUUUUACUAUUCAACUUUCCGAUUUGUUUUAUUUGAGUCAAAUAACUAACUAUAUUUUGACUUCAAAAAUUAAACUAAUUACUUACUUUAAUAAUUGAGUAUAUUAAUUAAAUAUGUAAAGAUAAACGACGUAUUCAAAUUUUAAAAUUAAAAUAUUAUUGACUAACUAAAAAGUAAAUAAAUUAAAAAAAUUAAAUAAUAAAAUUAAAAUUUUAAAAUUUAGAUAGUGAACUGUCAAUGACGUGUAAAGCUACUAUACUACCAGAUAUAUAAAGAAUUUGAUGCUUCCGGCGUUUUGAUCCUUGGAUAAAAAAUUAUACGGUUGGAAUAAUAGUAAUAUCUCCUAGAGUUGAAUAAUACUUCUAGGAUUGAGUGGUCAAUACAAGAUAAUAGUAUUAAUUCAAAUAUUAGAAUUUAUCAAAAGAGUUGAUCUAAAAAUUAAAAAAUUAAAAAUAUCAGACCCUCUAUGCUUUUUAUAGUAUAGUAACUCUACUCGUCCAUAGCUUAGAUAUGUUUUAUGGUGCAUAUGAGAAUUGAGAAGGCCUUAAUUAAAGAAGGGAAUAACUUCAAAUACCCUUACUGUGAUUUCACUCUUUCUCAUUUUAGUACAUUGUGAUUUAAAGUGUAUUAAGUUAGUACUCUGUGGUUUCGUACUUUCUCACUUUAGUAUCAUAUGGUUUAAAGUGUAUCAAGUUAGUACCCUGUGAUUUCGCACUUUCUCACUUUAGUACUCUGUAGUUUAAUAUUUCAUUAAGAGAAAAAUAAAACCACAGAGUACUAACUUGAAACAAAAAUAAAACUACAGGAUACUAAAUUGAUACACUUCAAGCCAAAUGGUACUAAAGUAAAAAAGUACGAAACCAUAUGGUACUAAUUUGAUACACUUUAAAUCACAUGGCAUUAAAAUGAAAAAAGUGUGAAAUCACAUGGAUUUUUUCGAAGUUUUUCCUUAAAAGAAGUAAUAAGAGUACUUGCUAAAGAGGACAACCAACCCUUUGCCGCUUUGCGUCGUCACCGUGAAUUAACGUCUCAAACUCGGUCUCAUCUGGUGGAGGACGCUACCGCUCGAGUGCUCCUUAAACCGACCCCGUUUCCCUUCCCCUGCUACGCCCUAAUCCCUCUCUCUCUCUCUCUCUCUCUCUCGCUUCCCCUCACCCUCCCUCUUAAUUUGUGUUUGUGGGUGUAGUGGGGAAUGGGGAGCGAAGGAACAUACGAAGGAUUCGUCGUCUCCAGGAUUCGAAUCAAUCUCCAAAAGGUAAUCUUGAAGAGUUCUUCCCAUCACUACUUUUAGGAUUAUUCCUAGAAUUUUUGUUAAAAAGAAUAAAAUUUUCCACUUCUUUUUGCGUAUAUUUUGAUGCGAUAAGCAUGAGAGGUGAUUAGGAUCUGUUUAUUAACCUAUUCUGCCGAGUUUUAUGGUGGGUGGAUUGCACGGUUUUCAACAAUUUAAAUUGUGAAGAUCUCGCCUGUUUGAUCCGUUUCUGGUUGUAGGGGCUGUUUAGGGGUUCAUUGGAAGGGACAAUUUCUAAGCUUUGUUGCCCUAAAAGAUUCUAUUUUGGUGCUAUUUUUGGGGAAGGGACAAUUUCUAAGCUUUGUCGCCCUAAAAGAUUCUAGUUUGGAGCUAUUUUUGGGGGAGUUUUGAGGGCAAUUGGCAAUUGGGUUUCUCUUAGUUUGUGAAAAAAUUGAUGGUUAUUUGUCUAAGUUAUCUAACAAUUUGUUGUUUCUAGUUACUUUGUGAUUGGGGAAUUUUUUUCAUUUUUUAUUUUUAAAAAUCCUAUUUUUGGUUCUAAUUUUGGGGGUGUCUUGCUUGGUUGGGUUUGGUUGGGGAAGCGGCUUCCUGAGUUUCUUCUGGUUUAUCCAAAUUUGAUGGUUGGAUUUAUGGAAUGGACCUGUGAUUGCUUCUUGUGGGACGCGUUUAUCGAAUGCGGUGGGAUUCGGAAUCCGCCGAUUAGAUAGCGUUAGAGGAAGAGGAGGAGGAGGAGGAGGAAGAAGAGGAGGAGGAAGAGGAAUUGGAGGCAGUUGAAAGGAGCAAAGUGAGUAAAACAGCUAUGGGAGAAGACCUCCUCACCACUCUCUCCAUGGAGAACCACCACCCCUCCACCCUCCUCUCCUUCUCUGCGGACGCCACCCCCCACCAGUCGUGGAGCUCUGAUUCUUGCGACAUGUUCGACGCCUGCCUUGCUCCGCAGAUCUACGACCCCGAGCCGGCCGCCCACCUCCCGAAAUCUGGCCAUCAGCACCACCGCAAGUGCGCAAAGAGAGGGGAUAGCAUUUGGGGCGCGUGGUUCUUCUUCACCUUCUACUUCAAGCCCGCUCUGUCCGAUAAAUCUAAAAGCAAGGCGGCCCGUGAUGCGCAUGGAGUAUCAGGCUUCGACAAAUCUGACCUCCGGCUCGACGUUUUUCUUGUCCAGCACGACAUGGAGAAUAUGUACAUGUGGGCUUUUAAGGAGAGGCCGGAGAAUGCCCUAGGCAAGAUGCAGCUCAGAAGCUAUAUGAAUGGGCACUCUCGGCUCGGAGAACCACAGUUCCCAUUUAGCGUUGAUAAGGGUUUCGUCAGAUCCCACAAAAUGCAAAGAAAGCAGUAUCGAGGACUGUCGAACCCGCAAUGUGUUCAUGGUCUUGAGGUGGUGAGAUCCCCCAAUUUAAAUUUGGUUACAGAAUUAGACCGUAAGAAAUGGAUGGAGCUUACUGGAAGGGAUAUAAAUUUUUCGAUCCCACCUGAAGCUAGCGAUUUUGGAUCAUGGAGGAACUUAUCUAAUACAGAAUUCGAGCUCGAAAGGCCUCUUCCUUCUCUAAAAAACAAUUCUUCGCAUCCCCAUCAAAGGAAGCUUCUUAAUGGGUCAGGUCUUAACUUAUCAUCCUCCCCUUCAACCCAUUCUAAUGGUGAUGGAAUGGAUCUCUCUCCCGUUUGCAGCAAACGUAGGAUGGAUGAAGAAUGCUUCUUACCAUUAAAUUCUUGCUCUGAAAAAAGCCUAGAUGUGGAAAUGCACUCGAGUGAGCCAUUGUGGUUACAUGAGUUCAGCGGUGUGAUGAAACAAGCGUGCGGGCCCGUGACUGCUGCGAAGACCAUAUAUGAGGACGAAGAGGGAUAUCUUAUCAUGGUUAGCUUGCCUUUCGCAGAUCAAAGAAGGGUAAAAGUUUCUUGGAGGAAUAAUGUAACUCAUGGGAUAGUGAAAAUCCUUUGUGUGAGUACCGCUCGCAUGCCAUUUAUAAAGAGGAGAAGUCGGACUUUCAAAUUGACCGACUCCAACCCCGAGCACUGCCCUCCGGGGGAGUUUAUAAGGGAAAUUCCGCUUGCCACGCGAAUCCCCGAAGAUGCCAAGCUCGAAGCUUAUUAUGAUGAGAGUAGUGCAGUUCUCGAGAUUAUUGUGCCAAAGCAGCGAUCGGGAUCGGAAGAACAUGAAGUUCGUGUUUGUAUGCGACCUCCUCACCUUGGAGUAAAUGAUCUUAUGUUGACUUAGAAUAAUUCUAGUGAUAUAAUGUAAUGUGUGUAUGAUUGAUUGUUGGGUCAUGGUUUCCCAUGUUUACUAACCUGAAUCGUGGAAGGAAACAUGUAAAAGUUGAAGUUUAUCAACCGUAAUGGGGAAUGUCUUCAGUUGGUAAUUUGUUGCUGAAGAUUUGUUGUUGUCUAAUGUAUGAUCGUAUUGCUUAGUAGAAUUAUUUGAGAGAAAAAAAAAGAAAGAAAAUGGUUGUUUGGAUGGUGAUGAAUGGUGCAAGUUCUUGUUGACUGGUUUUUAUUUGCGUGUUACUCUUAUUUUUAUGGAUUUACUGCUGUCUAUGGAGAUGUAAUCUGUUUUAUGGAUGAAAGGCUUUUGUUAUCUUUGGAACCCAUAUAUUCAUUUUGUUAUCAGGAGAAAUUUCCAUUAUAAAACAUGUACUCAGGGUAGGAGGCCACUACUAGAAAGAAAUACAACCAUUUCGUUCAAGAGACAUGAAUGAAGAAAAGCUUCAACCAUUUUGUUUUUUUUGUCAUGCAUUUUGUUUGCAAUAUAGAGGGAAGAAAAUCUUUCUCAUCAAGAUAUUAAAAGCUACUUUGAUGAUGCUAAAUCUAUGGUCCUUGGUCCUUGCUAGACUUACAUAUAUUUCUCUUUCAGUAACUUUUGUGAUGAAGUUUCUCUGACAAUUUUUUUGAUUGAUAACUCAAUAGUAGUCAAGUAGAUAGGUAUCAGAAACAAAAAAAAGACAAAAUAUAACUUGUUUGUAUGGCCUCCAUACUAUUCUUAUGAUAGUAUUGCCUCGACAAUAAUUACAAAAAAGUUACUAUCAAUAAUGCAACAUAAUCAAAUCAUAUAUUAGACUACACCCCCAACCUUUUACACAUUGUGAGGUGAAUUUUCCAGCGAACCUUUCCGGUAGGCUUUCAGAUCAAGAGCCUGUGUUUUGAGUGUUUCCUUGUCGUCAUGUUUAAGUUAGAAUUAACGAUGACAGUAGACGAUGCAUCUGAGCAGAUUAAUGCUACGUCAGAGUUUUCACUUCAGAGGUGACUGGGAUUGAGGGAGAAAUGUGAUUCAUUCGGGAUCUAACAAGAGUAGCAGUUAUUUUACAUACAUCUCCUGCAAAAAUCACAUCUAACAAAGCACAUGGUCACAUCAGAAAACAUUGUUUAGCGGCAUUAAAUUGCAAGCACUUUUGUGCCAAAUAGUUGGUUGAUGGAGGCUUUGACACACACAUAAAAGAAGUAGAAACAACACAUAAAACAAGCAGUAGGCAUAGCCAUAACCUGUGCUCGCCACGCACUUCUCAAGUCCUCACUCGGUUACUGUUGAGUGAAAAUUGAAAGAAAGAGACAGAAAAGUAAGGAAAAAAGCAAAUUCUUACUGAACCGAAGAUUCGGUUGCACCCAAAACUAAGAAUAUACCGAGAUACUACUUCCACCCGACCAUCAUCUUCAACUAGUCAAAAAAAAAAAAAAAAAAAAAAAAAAAAAAAAAAACGCAACAGACGCUCGUAACAGAAAGGGGGACAACAAAGGCAAUGCGGACGAACCCCACACAAUGAUAAUAAUGCAGAAAGAAGAGCUGCACCCAACUCAGAACACGCUUUAAUCGACCUCCUCAAUCUUCGGCCCCGCGCCGCUGCUGCCGCCCGCAGCCGGCCCAUCCUCAUCCAUCCCUCCAGCCAUGCCGGCGCCAGCGCCUUGGUACAUCUUCGCAAUGAUCGGGUUGCAAAUACUCUCCAGUUCCUUCAUCUUGUCCUCGAACUCGUCGGCCUCGGCCAACUGGUUGCUAUCCAGCCAGCUAAUAGCCCCCUCGAUCGCGUCUUCGAUCUUCUUCUUGUCGUCGGCCGGCAACUUGGACGCGAUCUUCUCGUCCUUGAUCGUGUUCCUCAUGUUGUAAGAGUAGUUCUCGAGCGCGUUCUUCGCCUCGACCUUCUUCUUGUGCUCCUCGUCCUCCGCCUUGUACUUCUCCGCCUCCUGAACCAUCUUUUCGAUCUCGUCCUUGCUCAGCCGGCCCUUGUCGUUGGUGAUGGUGAUCUUGUUCUUCUGCCCGGUGGUCUUAUCCUCGGCCGAGACGUUCAGGAUGCCGUUGGCGUCGAUAUCGAAGCAGACGUUGAUCUGGGGCACGCCGCGGGGAGCGGGCGGGAUGCCGGACAGCUCGAAUUUGCCGAGGAGGUUGUUGUCCUUCGUCCUCGCCCUCUCACCUUCGUAGACUUGGAUCAAGACGCCGGGCUGGUUGUCGGAGUAGGUGGAGAAGACCUGCUCCUUCUUGGUGGGAAUAGUGGUGUUCCUCGGAAUGAGAACGGUCAUCACGCCACCGGCGGUCUCGAGGCCAAGGGAGAGAGGAGUGACGUCGAGCAGGAGGAGGUCCUGCACCUUCUCGUUGCCCUCGCCGCUCAGAAUCGCGGCUUGCACCGCCGCACCGUACGCCACGGCCUCGUCGGGGUUGAUGCUCUUGCAGAGCUCCUUGCCGUUGAAGAAAUCCUGGAGGAGCUGCUGCACCUUGGGAAUGCGCGUGGACCCGCCGACGAGGACGACGUCGUGGACGGUGCUCUUGUCCAUCUUGGCGUCGCGCAGGCACUUCUCGACCGGCUCCAUGCACUUGCGGAAGAGGUCCAUGUUCAGCUCCUCGAACCUGGCGCGGGUGAUCGGGGCGUAGAAGUCGAUGCCCUCGUAGAGGGAGUCGAUCUCGAUGGUGGUCUGCGCGGUGGAGGAGAGGGUCCGCUUCGCCCUCUCGCAGGCGGUGCGCAGCCGGCGGAGCGCCCUCGGAUUGCCGCUGAUGUCCUUCUUGUGCUUGCGCUUGAACUCCUGGACGAAGUGGUUGACCAUGCGGUUGUCGAAGUCCUCGCCGCCGAGGUGGGUGUCGCCGGCGGUGGCCUUGACCUCGAAGAUGCCCUCCUCGAUGGUGAGGAGGGAGACGUCGAAGGUGCCGCCGCCGAGGUCGAAGAUGAGGACGUUCUUCUCGCCGGUGCUGCCGGCCUUCUUGUCGAGGCCGUAGGCGAUGGCGGCGGCGGUGGGCUCGUUGAUGAUGCGCAUGACGUUGAGGCCGGAGAUGACGCCGGCGUCCUUGGUGGCCUGGCGCUGCGAGUCGUUGAAGUAGGCGGGGACGGUGACCACGGCGUUCUUGAUGGUGGAGCCGAGGUAGGCCUCGGCGAUCUCCUUCAUCUUCGUCAGCACCAUGGACGAGAUCUCCUCCGCCGCGAACUGCUUCUCCUCGCCCUUGUACUGCACCACGAUCAUCGGCUUGUCGCCGGGGCCUGCAAUCACCUUGAACGGCCACAGCUUCAUGUCGCUCUGCACCGACGGGUCCGAGAAUCGCCGCCCGAUCAACCGCUUCGCAUCUGUCAAAACAGCAGGAAAAUUGUCAGCAAAAAAUAGUCCCCACAAAUAACUUAAUAAUAAUAAUAAUUAUAAUAAUAGUUACGCGGAUAUAUAUCAUAUGAUUAUUAUUCGGGCUUGCGUAUCAUUAAGCUCAAAGCAAAUAAGAACUGCGAGCAUUACGCUACGAAAUUAUCUACAAGAAAGUAGUUCCUAGUACCUAUCCUACAAGAAUUAUUAAGUUUUCUAAAAAAGAAUACCCUAAAAACGAAGCGAAGAACAGACCUACAUCGACAGAUCUAAUCUACAGUAGUAAUUGAUUGAAAAGUAAUACUAAUGCUACAUCUUUCAAGAAAGAUACGCAUAUCGGCGGAUCUAGUAGAAAGUGGUAAUUGAUUAUCAUCUCGAAAGGAGAUACUACUUAAAAAACGUGGCCAAAAGCUGAAUAGCAAAACGAAAAUAAGGUAAAUAAUUCUAAGAUUUCGCAACGAAUUACACUAAUUACGGUGAAAAAUUUCUCUAGAAACACUAUACCACGAUCUGUAUAACCAGAUCUACAUAAAAACAAUAAUCCACCACAAUUUCAAAGAGGAAGAGAAGACUAUGCCACUAUGCCACGAUCUUUAUAACCAGAUCUACUUAAAAACAGCAAUCCACCAUAAUUUCAAAGAGGAAGGGGAGGAGAAACUCACCGAAGACGGUGUUGGUUGGGUUCAUGGCGACCUGGUUCUUCGCGGCGUCGCCGAUGAGCCUCUCGGUGUCGGUGAAGGCGACAUAGGAGGGGGUGGUGCGGUUCCCCUGAUCGUUGGCGAUGAUCUCCACGCGAUCGUGUUGCCACACCCCGACGCACGAGUACGUCGUCCCGAGGUCGAUCCCGAUCGCAGGUCCCUCGCCCUUACCCGCCAUGGAUGAUGGAUCAAGCAAAAAACAAAAAAGUCGAUCUAAAUCGAGCGAAAUCGAAGAAGAAAACUAGGGUUUUCGUAAGAGCAGUAGCAAAUCAAUCUCUCUGUGAGAGGAGGAUGGGGAGGGUCCUUUUUAUGGAGGAGGUGGGAAUUCCGGAAGGUUCGAAUCGGCGAAUCUGAACCGUUGGAUCGUUGCGGUGAGACGGUGCGAAAAGAGCAUACGUAUACAAAUUGGACGGUGAGGGAUGGUUCUCCGUGAAUCUAGUGAAUUCUAGAACCCUCCACGCCAUAAUUUGAACUGCAGUGCCACGCUUUUUGUGUCACGGUGAGGGGAGGAUGACACGUCGGCCCAAUGAAUGAGUGGGCCCCAAGUGUCAGAGUAAUAGUGGUGAAGAAGGCGUCUGAUUGGUGGAGUUUGGGUGCGAAAGUGACUCGGUUGCUACGAAUGUUGGAUUCGUGUGAAGCGGGUCGGACCGAACCGGAGAUAUUUUAAGGAAAGGCUAAAUUACACUUUUGGCCCUUAAACAGUAAAUCACGUGGUCCUUUUGUGGGUAUUUAGGAUAUGUGAAUCUCAUUACAAAUACGAUAUCCGGCGAAAAAUGGGUGAACCAAAAAAAAGGAUAAAGGUUAGGUAAGAACUAAUAAUGCAAUUAACCCUCAAAAUAUAUAUAUUUAGCCCAAUAUUAGGCCCACUAAGAGCCCAAAAUAAGGCCCGACCCGAUAUUUUGUUAUAGGGUCUACUCCAAAACUAACGACUACAAUUACACGACGCGUAUUAUUUCCACUCCCCUGGUCACUCCGAGCCUAUCGCGAACUGGCUUAUUAUAAGCGGAGCAGCAACACCAUCACCUCACUCUUCGUCUCCUCCCAACUCUCUCCUCCUCCUCCUCCUAUCUCUCUUCACUCCCUCUUCCUCUCCACCACCACCGCGCCAUGUACCUCCGCCUCCAAUGGCCUCCACCUCCUCCUCGCCCACCACCCCAACGCCGACCUCUCCCUCGUCCCCGACAAGGGCUUCUCCCACAUCUCCGACCCGCUCCUCGGAGGAGCCGUCCAUGGCCUCUCCCUCCGCCGCGCCCUCUACCUCAGCGCCUUCCACCUCAACACCCUUGUCAACAUGUACUUUAGAUUCGGCAAAACCGACUCCGCGCUCUACGUGUUCGACCAUAUGCCCCAGAGAAACGCCGCGUCGUGGAACACCGCGAUCUCGGGGUGCGUCCGAGUGGGUCGGGUUGGUAAAGCCUUGGGAUUGUUUAGAGAGAUGAGAGAAGGAGGCGUGAAGCAUAAUGGGUUUGCCCUCGCAAGCCUCGUGACGGCAUGCGACCGUUGGGCGGACGUAGUCGCGCAAGGUGUACAGAUCCAUGGGCUUGUGCUGAAGCUUGGGUUGAUGUCUAAUGUUUAUGUAGGCACCGCAUUGUUGCAUUUUUAUGGUAGUCGCGGGUUGGUCUACGAUGCUCUAAAACUGUUUGAGGAAAUGCCUGAGAGAAAUGUGGUGUCUUGGACUGCUCUAAUGGUCUCUUUAUCUUCAAAUGGACACCCUUUAGAAGCAUUGCAGGCUUAUCAGCAGAUGAGAAGAGAAGGGAUUGCUUGCAACGAGAACUCAUUCUCUGCGGCCGUUAGUUCGUGCUGUGUGCUCCAGAAUGAGAAGCUGAGUCUUCAAGUUGUGGCCCAUAUCGUGGUGUCGGGGUUCGAGACCGAUUUGUCUGUUACCAAUUCUUUGAUUACUCUAUUUGGUAGUCUGGGAAGAAUUCAACUAGCUGAGCAACUCUUUAAUCGGAUGACAGAACGCGACACUAUAUCAUGGAAUUCAAUCAUAUCAAUGUAUUCGCACGAGGGCACGUGUGACGAAUCCUUUCAGUUCUUUUCUAAUAUGCGAGGAAGUAAUUUGUGUCCUGACUCAACUACUCUAUCUAGUUUAAUAUCUGUCUGUGCUUCCUUGGAUCACUUGAGGUGGGGGAGAGGACUUCAUGCCCUUUGUUUCAAGGAUGGUCACAAUUCGUUUGUUUCGGUUGCCAACACGCUGGUUAAUAUGUAUUCAACAUGCGGAGAAUAUGAUGAUGCGGAGUUUCUAUUCGUCAGUAUGCCUAAAAGGGAUAUAGUUUCAUGGAAUACUAUGAUCGCUUCUUAUGCACAGAGCGGGAAUUGCAUUGAUGCACUGAGGAUAUUGAGCCAAAUGAUUCGAACGAAUGAAGGAAUGAAUCAUAUGACAUUUGCUAGCGCAUUGGCUGUGUGUUCAAGCCCAGAAACCCUAAUGGUUGGAAGAAUGGUUCAUGCCUUUGUAACUCAUCUGGAUCUGCAUUGUAACUUGUUGGUGUGUAAUGCUCUAAUCACCAUGUACACUAAAUGCAAUUCUAUUGAAGAAGCUGAGCAGGUGUUCAAGAUUAUGCCCACUCGUGAUGUAAUUACUUGCAAUGCACUUAUAGGGGGAUAUGGAGAGAAUAAGGAGCGGAUGAAGGCAAUGCAAGUAUUCAAAUGGAUGAAAAGAGCAUUCAUAAUGGCAAAUUAUAUUACGAUGGUGAAUAUACUCGGUGCUUUCUCAUCUCCAAAUGAUCUAAGAGACAAUGGAAUGCCCCUCCAUGCACAUAUAGUAUUGACUGGAUUCGAUUCAGAUGAGUAUGUUAUCAACUCCAUAAUCACAAUGUAUGCAAAAUGUGGUGAUUUUAAAUCUAGUGGGGCAAUAUUUCACAGAAUGGUAGUCAAGACCGCAAUUUCGUGGAAUUCCAUGAUUGCUGCAAAAGCCCAACAAGGACUUGGAGAGGAUGCUUUAAAGCUCUUAACAGAGAUGAGAUAUUCAGGGAAUGAUCUAGACCAGUUUAGCCUAUCUGGAGGCUUAGCAGCUUGUUCAAGCUUAGCAUCAGUCGAAGAAGGCCAGCAGCUUCAGAGUCUAAGUGUUAAGCUAGGGCUUGAAUCGGACAUUCACGUAAUCAAUACUACUAUGGAUAUGUACGGAAAGUGUGGAAAGAUGGAAGAAUUGCUAAAACUGCUUCCCCGACCAGCUGCUCGGCCUCAACAGUCGUGGAAUAUUUUGAUAUCAGGAUACGCAAGGCAUGGUUGUUUUGAAAAGGCUGAGGAGACUUUUAAAGAGAUGGUCUUCGUGGGGCUAAAGCCUGAUUAUGUUACUUUUGUUGCUCUCCUCUCUGCAUGCAACCAUGCUGGUUUAGUAGACAAAGGGCUUGAGUACUACAACUUGAUGAAUUCUGAAUUUCAUAUAACACCUGGAAUAGAGCACUGCGUUUGUAUAGUCGACCUACUCGGACGGCUAGGGAGGCUUAGUGAAGCAGAGAGGUUUGUAACAGAAAUGCCUGUCCCACCAAAUGAUCGCAUCUGGCGAAGUUUGCUUUCUUCAAGUAGAACCCACAAAAACCUUGAUAUCGGUGAGAGAGCUGCAAAACAUCUUCUGGAGUUAGAUCCACUAGAUGAUUCUGCUUAUGUUCUUCUAUCCAACUUAUAUGCUACAAGUAGAAAAUGGGAUGAAGUCGACAACUUGAGAGAACAUAUGAAGGCAAUUAAUUUGAAAAAGAGGCCAGCUUGCAGUUGGAUUAAGAUAAAGAAUGAGAUUAGAACAUUCGGCAUAGGGGAUAAGACACAUAAGGAUAAAAAGGAGAUCUAUGCAAAAUUAGGAGAAAUAUUGCUAAUGGUUAAAGACGUGGGUUAUGUUGCGGACACUUCCUAUGCGUUGCAUGACAUGGACGAAGAGCAAAAAGAACAAAACCUUUGGAACCAUAGCGAGAAGCUUGCUUUGGCUUAUGGUUUAACGAGAAUGCCCAAAGGGUCUUCGAUAAGGAUAUUUAAGAACCUUAGGGUUUGUGGGGAUUGCCAUUUGGUAUUUAAGUUGGUUAGUAGUGUGGUCGAUCGGGAAAUAGUUCUUAGGGAUCCUUAUAGGUUCCACCAUUUUAAAGGUGGAGAGUGUUCUUGUUCAGAUUUUUGGUAAAUUGAAUACUGAGACUAUAUCUUUUUUGUCACUGAUUGUCCAAGAACUCUGUUGGUACAGCAUUAUCCGGGUCAGUAAUUCUUUCAUUAAUUAUUAAUGUACUUCAACUUCAGUUGAUCUCAGUUUUGCUUGCUGUUGUUGACUAUGUUUUCAUUAUUCAGUUGUGGUAUUCUUUCUGAAUCAAUCUAUUCAAAGUAUAAAUUGUCGUACUUCUAUAAUUCGAUAAAUUGAAAUAGGCAAUUCAUUAUGUUCGAAGAUCGAACUAAUGCUACUUCUCAUUGUUCAAAACUCAGACAUUGAAGAAGCAAACGAUCUACAAAGUGUGAGCAACUGCUUCACUAGCAAACCCAAAAAAAUGAAGCCUAUGCCGGCGCCGCGACUCUACUACCAGUAAUCACCACAAGAGCAUGACCCAUCUUUGAAGUGGUGGAACCGGCUCCGAUCCCUCAACACAAUCUCCCUUCCAUAUAUCUUCGAUAUCAGCUUCAUCGCGACAUGGCAAUCCUCGCAGACUCUCAAGUUCUUCACCACCCUCAGCGUCGUCCCUGGCGCGGUCCUCAUCAGCCCAAAUGCUACCGCCGCCCUCUCACUAUGGUGUGCCGCUGGGGCCACUGCAGUCUCCGGCACGUUCCCGGCCUUCCUCAGCUCACGCUCAAUCCGAUCCAGCAUCACAUGCACCUCACGUGAGUGGCGGUGCAACUUAUCCUCCACCACAAAUGAGUAAACCCGACCGUCCAAUUCAAUCACACUGCAUCCGGGCUCCUUACCGAUCCCUUGCUUCUUCAUCCUCCUCCGCAUGUGCACAGCAUCGUCCUGCUGCCCUGCGGUGGCGUAGAUGUUGGACAUCAGCACGUGGUCACCGUGGUGAUGUGGGUCCAGCCGUUGGAUCUCCUGCAUUGCCGCCUCACCGAUUCCAACAUUCUUGUGCACUUUACAUGCACCUAACAGUGUUCGCCAUAGUACCGCCGUCGGCUUAAAGGGAGCUGUCCGGAUCAAUUCCAAAGCCUCAUCCAGCCGUCCGGCACGGCCCAGUAAGUCGACCAUACAACCAUAAUGCUCUGCCUGCGGAACCAAUCUGUACUGCCCCUUCAUUUCGUCGAACAAUCUCCGCCCUUCAUCAAGCAACCCAGAAUGGCUGCAUGCCGAGAGUACACUGAUGAAUAUUACUUCGUCCGGUUCUAUCCCAUCCUCCAUCACCAUUCGAUCAAAGUACUCGAUCGCCGUCCGUCCACAACCGUUGAUGGCCAAGCCAUUGAUCACAGCCGUCCAAGCAACGAGAUUCCUAACGGCUAUAUUCUCAAAUAUUUCAACGGCCCGAUCGAUGCACCCACACUUGGAGUACAUGUCUAUCAGUGCGGUGUUAACGCCGAUCCGGCCGUCCAUUCGAUGCCUUCGGAUAUAACGGUGCGCCCACUCGCCGAGCCGGAGCGCGCCUGCGUCGGCGCACGCAGUGAGCGCGGCCACGAGAGUGACCUCGUCGGGGGCGACCCCGCCCGCGAGCUGGAGCUCGCGGAACAGCUCCAGCGCGGCCCCGGAUAGCUUAUUCCGCGCAUAGCCCGCGAUCAUGGCGUUCCAGGAUACGACAUCCCUCUGGGGCAUUCCAUCGAACGCCUUGCGCGCGCGGUCGACGCAGCCGCAGGAGGCGUAGAGAUGGAUCAGGGCAUUGCGCGAGUGGAGAUCGGAUUUGAACCCGAGCUUGACGAUGUGGGCGUGGAUCUGGGACCCUUCGCGGAGAGCGAGGAGGAGGGAGAGGGAUUUGAGGAGGGAGGGGAAUGUGUGGGGGGUGGGGGGGAUGGCGUAUUCGAGGGAGGCGGAGUAGAGGAGAAUAGCGCGCUGGGGAUGAGGGGAUUGGGAGAGGGAUUGGAGGAUGGUGUUGCGUAGGAAGGAGGGAGUGGGAGUGGGAUUGGGGGAGUGGGAGAGGAGGACGAGUGCGCGGGCGAUGAGGGAAGGGUCUGCAGGGCCGGUCCGGUUCGCGCCGAGGGAGAGGAGACGGUUCUGGGCCGCGCCGGUUUUGAGUAGGAGGGCUUGGAGUUGCUUCGUCUCCGAGAGGGCUGGUGCGGUGGUGGCGGUGGUGGAUGGGUGAGGAGGAAUGGACGGUGGGGAUAAGGAGGCCGCGAACAUGGAGGGUGAUGGACGGACGGACGGACGGACGGAUGGUCGAAUUGCCUGCUGCUGAUGGAAGGUGCUGGCGAACUGAUAAUUUAUCUUUCUUUUUAGCCCUGCGAUUGCUUAUUUCAGGGUUAUUUCAGGUAUAAAUAAAUACUGGUCCAGAUAUAAACAAAUAUUAAAUCAAUUUUGUAUUAAUAAAAAAAAUAGAUUGUUCCUGAUAUAAUUUUAAAUUAAAAUAUUUUAUCCAAUUAAUUAAAAUCAAAAUGUUAAUUAAAAAUAACUUAAUAAAUUAAUAAAUUUAUUAACUCUGAAUGUUAUAUAAAAUAAUAAAAUAUGUCAAUUAAUUAAUUAUAAAAAUAAUAAUUUAAAAUUUUAAUUAGCUGGUAGAUUAUUUUAGUUAGAUAGCUAAUAAAAAAAUUAAUUAGAUUAAUAAAAAUAUUAAUAAUUGAUCAAUAUAAAUAUUAGUUUAUAGGUAAACACAUUAAAUUAUUAAUAAUUAAUUAUAAGUAAUAAAUUAAUUAAUUACUUCAUUAUUUAAGCAAUAGAUAAUAAUUUAAAUAUAUUAAUUAAAUUAACUAAUANUAGCUAAUAAAAAAAUUAAUUAGAUUAAUAAAAAUAAUAAUUUAAUAUCAUAAUGAAAAUUAAAUUUUAAUUUUAAUUAGUCCCACUUGAAAAUAAAUUUGUAAAAAUAAAAAUAAAAAAAAGAUGAAACAACAAUUUCAGACUUCGAAUCAUACCUUUCAAGAAUCUAAAAAUUACUGUUCUCAAAUACAAAAUUUUACGUUUGGAAACAAAGAGAAAAAAACUACUAUUUUCGGAUAGGAAAAUUUACAUUUGGAAACAAAAGUGGAAAUAGGGAGUCUUUGUUUGUUUUGUCCGAAACUGGAACACGUGAACGGAAAAAUUGUCCAGAGCCAGAUCUCUGGGAUCGGGUGAAGUUCAUGCUGAUUGCUGAGCUCUGCUUCUUUAAGUUGCUACCACAUUCAGAAGUUGUGCUUUCCACGGAUCUGCAGCGCGUUUCAGUCAGUAGUGGGAUGUGGCUUGCUGCAGGCCGGUCGCAGAACAGCCCGCACGAAGCUAGUCCACCACCAUCACCUUUGCUUGACGAGCCUGGGCUUAAUCUUCUGGAGAACAUUGAACUACGCAACCCCCAGAGGACUCGGGAGGGUUCAUUAAAUUCAGCAUUGCAAAAAGUUCAAUCAGAGUAUCAACCAGUAACUUUUUAUUACUUUGAUCUUACAAAACAACCAGUUAAAAGGCAUUAAUUUGAUACUCACUGACAUAUAUUAAUAUAUACUUCAUAAAAUUGCUGCAAAUGAUUGCGGGGUGCUCUGAGUUUAUUACACACUGAAGAGUAUGUGACCUUCUAAGACCAAAGAGAUGUUAAUAAAAUUUAAAAACAAGUUACAAUCAAGUAUCAACAAUGCAUUGACCGUUUCCCUGGUGACUUCAAUGUAAUGCCAACUUCUCUCUUAAUCACAGCCAAAAGCAAAUAAAAGGAGAGAGAAAAUAGAGCACAAGCACAGGGGCACAGGCUUGUGACUGAGGCUACUGAUAGAGAUGCAGGGGACCAACAUUGUCCACAAGUGGAAAAUAAUAUGAGACUCGCAACAUUAUCCUGCAACUUGAAAUGUAAAUUCCAGUGUCUGAAAGACAAAACUAAGAAAAAUAUAAGAGGAAAAAGACUCGUGAGGUGUUUCAAUCGAUCGCAGUGGGAUUCGAACCCACGACCUUUAGAUCCGGAGUCUAACGCGAUAUCCACUCCGCUAUGCGAUCUUUUUUAUCAUAUCAUGAAAACUUUUUUCUUCUAACAUAUUGCUUUGCCAUUUAGGGUAAAGAGAGAACCCAAAUAAAAAAAAAUGCAAAUGAACAAAAUAAUUGCUUUAACAUAACAGUAAAAAAAAAAAAAAAAAAGAGCUUUAACAUCAUCUAUCAGCAUUUAAGGGGCUUUGCAGCUAUUUUCUGAAAUCUGUGGAGAUAAACUGCUACUACUGAGACAACUUUCAGAAAACAAAAACUCCGCUGAUACUUAUGACAGCUGCAAGUAAAAUCUCCAAACGGUCGAAUUGCAAAAAAAAAAAAAAAAAGCCCCUAGCAUUUUACCUGGCUACAAUAACUUGUUAAAUGAGUGGCUAGAGGAAUAUUACGAAAAUAUAUGAUGCCAAAGAUGCAUUUAUGGACACAUGAAACAUGCAAUUGUGCGCCAGCUAAACCUAGUUGAUGCACAAAGCAACCAACAAUCAACAUAUUCUAUAGUGUUCGUCUGCCAAUUAAUGCGACUAAUCAAUCUUUAAAACCUCAUUUUGGGGUUUACAAAGCUGUCAAAACAUCACAUGCGACGCACAAUGGCAUUUUGAAACCAGGAUUUAACAUUAAUACACCUUUAAAUAACUAUGAAAUAUCCAUACGACAUAUAGAAGUUCCUUAUAAGUCUCAAACAUUGCAUAGGUCAUAUAUAACAGGAAUACAGUAACAUGAAUAUAGCCUGUCAAGAGGUAAGAUGAGACGCAGCCAUGGAAUCACUUCCCAGAAGUUCGCCUAUAUAAACCCACUGCUGUUAGCUCACCCACUUAGGAAAAUUAAAGGAAGCAGAGUCUCUAGGAAAUGUGUAGAAGAGGAAGCAUCACAAAACAUCAGCAUCGCUAUUUCUACGUCACGUAGCUUCUUAUUCCCCCCCCCAAAUUCUUAAAGUUUUAUCUAACCAACAGCUUAGCCCUGAGAAUUCCCUCUCAAAGGAUUGACAACUUGUAAACUGCCAUAUACUCCCUAGAAAUCAUUACCUGAUAUUAUUGGAAAGCAACAUUUGACAAUUAAAGGGACAAAAAUAAAAAAGUUUCUGCUACACAUGCAUGGUCACUACAAAUUUUUUUGCCUAUAUUAUCAAGCUACGAAUUAGGUUAAUCGAAAGGAAGAUUUUAGGAAAUUUAUGCAGCUAGAAAAGAAAAUAAACCUGACUUAACCCCAAAUAGUUCAUCAUUACGAUGAAGUUACUAAAUAAUAGUGUAUAAUUCAAGUGAAAAAGGAAACCCUCAAGUCGAAGUUAUGAAACUACACUACUCACCCAUUCAAAGCAAGGUUAAGAUCGUCUCAAAUCGAAGCACGACUCUACUCGAGAAUCGAAUCUACUCAAUACCUCAGAAAAGAGGAAAAAGAUGGUGAUAUCAAUUACGCGAUCUACACAUAAAACGGGAUCUGAACGCAUCAAUUGCAUCUAUGAAGCAUUCAAAUCGUUUCUCGCGAGAGAGAGAGAGAGAGAAAGAGGAAGGGAGAACGAUCGAUGUGGGGCUAGGGUUUUGGGGGGAGGAGGAGGAUCACACACAUACCUCCUGAUCUCCUGGGCGUAGGGGGAGUUCUUAGCGUCCUCCUCUGCGUGCAUAGGAGUAGAGAGAAUAGGGUCAAAUCGAAGAUGAUGGGGAUCGAGGGGAGUGUAGAGGGGGGGAGGAGAUCGAUGGGGAGAGUGACGAAGAGGAGGAGGAAGGGCCAGUUUCGCCUCCACUCCCGCUUGAAGAACACCGGCCAUGGAUCGAACUUUCUCAUUCUCUCUCGCCUCUUCUCGUCUCUUCCCUUCUCUUCUUUUUUACGCUGCGCUUCGAACUUAUUCUCCGCUACAGCGGCGGAAAUGGCGACGAAUGACCGGUUAGCCCCCUUGGGCCCGCUGUGAGGUGGGCCAGCCCACAAUGGACAUUGUAGUUUUUUAAAGUAAAUUUUUUUUUUAAAAAAAAUUGACUGUUAUGAUAGAUUUUUUUUUCUCUGUUUUUUUUUUUAAAAAAAAAACUCCUCGUAAUUUCAUGUGGACUGGUAAAAAAUAUUUUCUUCCCUAGCUUUUCUUUCUUUUCUCGUUUUCUCUUUGUCCAAAUAAAGUGUUAGAAAAAAUUUUGGCGGCAGAAAUAUACUGCAGCACUUAUUUAUAGGUCAAAUGCGUAGAUGACUUAGUUUCUUCAAUUUUUGGUCACGUUUCACUUUCCAAAUUUAUGUAUGAAAUUUAGUCACUAUUUCAAAGUUGUGAAAAAUUUAGUGAAGCCUUAUUUUUUUUAAAAAAAAAAUAAAUCAUUGUUUACAUCUGAAUCAAUAUUUUUCCUGCACUAAAAUCAUCUUGUGAUCUUCUAUUCAUAUCAUCAUGUUUUAAAUUAUUUAUAGAAUUAUGGUCGAUAAUGUUCAAUGCGUGAAUAUAUUUACCCUAAUUAUUUGGGACCAUGAACUCAAUAAUAUAUCAGUGAGGAAGAUUAACAUGAAGUUUUUAUUCAGAAAAAAAUAAGGAAAAAGACAGGAGUAUUUGGAAAAUCUUAGCUCCUCCUAAUCUUAGUGCUUUGGAAUUUUCUCUCGACUUACAGACGAAAACAAAUGAAAUGUCUACUUUUUCUAAAAAUUCAAAGAACAUUGGCUGCACAGGUUUAUGCUAAAACUUACAGAGUAUGGCCAAAGGUGUUUGAUUUGGUUCAGAAGAGAUUGAAACCACCUAUUUGGUGAUAAUAUAAGGGAACAAAGAGAAAAUGUUGAAUUUGUACGAUAAACAAUGCUAAAAUGUAAAAAAAAUAAAAAUAAAAAUAAAAAUUCCAGAGCAUGAUUUGUGUUUGGAACUGAAGAUUGGAGAUUAAGAAGUUCUUCAGUAAAUUAGAAAAAAUGAUCUUCAGAGUACAAGUGAUGUAAUACUUUGCUGUUUAAUUUGUGAAACUAAAUUACAGAAUAUGAAUGUAGGAAUAACUGAAUAGGAUCACAUUCAGUAAUAAGGGUAAGUUUCAUAAUUUAACUAUCUAGACAAUGCUGAAGAAAUCAAAUUCUCUAUUUUGAGGGGACAGAAAAUUUACUUUUUAUUUGCAUGAAAACAUAGUUACCAUUAUAUUUCAAUUGGUUCAUAGGCAUAUUAUUGCAUCAUUCAAUGUAAUUAGCUAGAAAGUUCUUCAGUUGGCGUCACUGUCACAAGCAAGCAUAAUAAGCAAACUCCUCUUCCUCAAAGAAUCAACUGCACAAAUGAGAUAGCAUAGGAAAAAAACAAAAAUCUAGUGCCAUAACUUGAUGAGCCAUUUUAAUUAGCGACAAUCUCCAUGCACGCAGUGCAGUAGCUUGUUUUAAUUUAGUAUUCCACUAAUCAUUCACUAUCAUCAGAAAAAUGAUUAAGAGUAUGCAACUACACUAUGUUCAGAUCUUAAACGAAUUUAGCGAAGUAACUGUUAACAAAUGUUGCAGUAUAUCAUCUCAAUGGACAACAAAAUUUAGAAGUGCUUCACUCAACAAAUCUACGCCAUGCAAAGACAAACAUCUCAGAAGCGAAAACGAGUAUACAAACCACCAUAUAAUUGCUCCCAGUUGGCAAUCUAAUAAAAUAUAUUGUAAGAUUAUUCUGACACAUUUUGAUGUAACCAACUGCAGCUUAUUACAGGUGCACCGCCAUAUGGGCUAAAAGCACAUAUACUAAACAGGAAAGGCUAACAUAUUGCUUUUCUUAUGUAAGGAGAAGGAAAUUGCGAUGUCUGCGAAAGACAACCUGCUCUAUAGAUCUUUACAACUGCCACCUGAUUAAAGGAAAAGAGUUUGCAUAUAGCUGUAUUGCUUUACGGCGACCAAUAGAAACAUGCAGCAACAAAAUUCAAGAACCUAACAGAUAAUGCAUCUUACUCAAACUCUGCAGAUAAUGAAUCCAAAAAAUUUACGCAUGUCAAAAAUGCAUCAGAUUCAUUCGAUUUCUAUAUUAGCUGCUAUACGUAGAAAAGGAAACUUAUAUGAGUGAGUUGUUUUGCAAUGUUUGGAAAGUGAAACAAACUAACAAAAGAACCGUACAAAGAGCUGCACAAUAGCGAGAAAACCAUCUGACGAACUGUUUACCAAAGUGAUAGCUCGCAUACCAAAUUAUGUUCAGCUCCUACGAUAUGCACCUAAUAGAAGCAGCCAAUUACUCUGCAACUCGCGUAUUUGUCAAUUUUAGGAGGCUGUUUACAUAAGAAAGUCCGGAUUUUCUGUUUAUAGAAUUUUUACUAAUUCUCCAUGCUUUUCCAGUUAUUGCGUCAUAGCAGAUACGCUUCUCAUUAACUUCGAAUAUAAUGAAAUUAGCUGCAAAAGUGAGAAUGUCUACCGUGCUUCUUCGAAGAAUUGCCUCCAAUGAUUCAGACUUUCGAUUUCUAAGAUUCAUUCUGAGGCCCAAUGAUGCGAAGAAGUGAAAAUUUUCUCUAGCAACGGCUUCGAUCGUCAGCAACAGCUUCUUGGACCAACAGGAUUUGUUCCAAGACCAUAUAGAAAUCUCCCCAUUUUCAGUAGUCAUGAAGCUGAGGUGCCCAUUCCAUUCUCCCAGUCUAUGCUUACAGUAUUUGAAUUGCGAUGGCAAUGAUAAUGUGCCACAACGCUCUUCUUUCGCAUCAAACCAUAUCGCUUUUUCGUGAUGCUCCCAAAAAAGAGUCCCUUCCACAUUGGUAACGUACCUAAACGACCAAAACGGCGAGCUGUACGUCAGAACUUUCUCCUUAGAAAUCUCCCAUGAGCCCUUCGCUGAAGCUAAAACCUUGAAACUUACUUCCAUGACUAAUUCGUCACUAUCGUAACGGCGAAAGGGCACGGCGAGCUUGUAGCCGACACCAGAUUCCAUCUCAUUAACGGCCAAUCCGAUGCUCACGAUCGGAUCGUCAUCAAAAGGCGGAGGAAGAAGUAUCCAAUUGUUUAGCACCGGAUUCCCCACAUAGAGCAGCAUCCUGUCCCAGCUAAGUGAGACCAGGCUAACGCAGAUUAUACCCUUGCACGAGGCCAUGAUCUUCGGAGGGUGCCAAUACCGUUGAUCAUCGAACUGCUUGCAAAGUUUCGGGAAGCCGACCGAGUUGGGGUCUGCGGUGUACAAGCUCGGCUCGGGCUUAUCGGUGAUCACAAGAAGAGCGGGACGAGAACGUGCGUGGGCGACCUGGAGGCGGGCGAAAUAGGGAUCGUUCAAGAUCAAGGAUCGCCAGCUCUUCGACACGCAUUGCAGCCGCACGAGAUCUUUGGUGGGGAGGCAAGGGAGGAUACGGUAAGCGAUGAGAUCAUCGGAGAUGCACGGCCACCGCGCGUUCUUCAUUCUUUAACCACAUCCAUUACAAAGAGAGCUUUAUUAGCUAUAGAUGAUUCGAUCGAUCGACGUAACAAAUACAUGCAUGAUACGUACAUUUGUUGCACCAUCUAAAGAAACAAGGAAAGGUUACAUACUUAUAAAGAGCUUCUUGAGGAGAAUCGAUGAGACCUUUGAUUAGCUGCGGCUUUUCAAUUACUUUGUGAGGGUUUGAGUACUCAAAUUCUCAGAUUAGAAUUGGAUGGAGUAAGAGGAAAUAAGACUUAAAAAGGAAGAGCGAAUUUUGUUUGGAGGAGCAACUAACCGUCCAAGUGAUCCUAACCGUCCAAAACGGCGACGGUUACAGUUAAACGUUCUUAACCUGAAACGCCACUUAUUUUUUUUAUUUAUAUAUUUUAUAUUAAUAUUUUGCAAUAUUUAUAUUUAAAGUUUGAUUUUUUUAUAAUAAUUUUAUGAGAAAUGUGAAGGUUUGUUCUCCAUUUCGAAUUAAAAUAAAAUGAAAAAGACUAGUAACUUAUGUUAGCUUGUUUUGUUAUAUUCUCACAGCUUUAUGGUUCUGUUGAGGGUAUAUAUGGAGUUUUUUUUUUUUUUUUUUUUUUUUUUUUUGGGUUGCUUUUGUUGGGAUGUUUUGAUUCUCAGCGCCAGUUGCCUCACUUCUGUAGCUCAAUUUAUAUUUGUUAUGGAUAAAACAAACAACAAGCCUACCUUUCUUCAAAAAUAAAAAAAAAAGAAAAAAGCCAUGAAACAUAUAAUACCUAUGGUUAUUUCUCAAGUGAUAUCUUUUUUUUUUCUUUUUUUUCUUUUUUUUUUUUUUUAAGAGAUAGAUAGCACGCUAUCCGCUUCGUUUAUUUUAUUUAGAAAUAAACUUAGCUAGAAAUGUGAAUCAACUUGGAUUCGAACUUAAGUCUUGGGUACCAACCACCAAACCCUUUGUCAUUUGCUUUAGGGACGAUCGGUAUUUCUCAAGUGAUAUCAAAAUAUAUGACUAUUUGAUCAUUCAAAAUUAAAUUCCAAAAACUUUUUGAUUAAAACUCUCUUAACUUUUAAUCAUUCAAAAUUAAAUUAUUUUAGUCAAAAAAUAAAAAUAUAAUCAAAUUCAUUAAUAAUUUUAUCCAAAUUAAUAAUUUUAAUUUUUUUUUAACAAAUAAAAUUUAGUCUAAUGAUCAAUGGCUAAUAAAAUAAAAAAUUUAACAAUAUUUUCAACUAAAGUAUUUAGCAUAAUUCAAUUCCAAAAAAUUUAAAUUUUAAAAUGUCCUAAUAAAAAAAACUUUAAAGUUAGGAGGGUCCAUUUUGAAAAGUCCUAUUGUUGGUGGGCCUCGAUGCAUUUUACCAUUAGGGAGUUAGGGACAAUUUCAAACGAGUGGCACAUCCUAAGUAUUACCUCAACCAAAAUUUUCCUCUCUCUCUCUCUAACCCUUCUUCUUCGUCUCUCUCCGACCCGUUUCCUCCUCCAUCGAAGAUCCCUCGUUUCUCCAACCCUUUUUAAACUAAUUUAAUCUCAAUAUUAGCUCAUAUUUUUCUUUUUUUUGGUUUCAGUUUAGUUCUUCGAGCGCAAUUUUGAGAUCUAAAGCUAAUGUAUGCAAUCUCCGCUAAUUGAAUGUGUCUAGGGUUUUAGGUUCUACGAAGUUCGUACUUUGAUCGCUGAUUUGAACAUCUGAAGCAGGGAGGUGGAGGAGGAGUAGUGGAUCGGAGUUAGGGUUUGAUGUUCUUAGAUUUUGUAGCUUGUUGAGGGAGAUCGUGUAACCUGUUGUUGGUAAAUGAGUCCCGAUCGCAGCAGGAGUCCUGUGCGGACUCGACGAUUCCGCAGCGAGCGCACGUCGAGCCGCUAUUCCCCGUAUAGGAGAGAUCGCCCCAGCUACAGGUGAGAUUUUUAUCUUUUAGUUGAUUUGUUAGUUGCUUUGUUUGCACGGAUUAUUAUUAAUCUAAUAUGGAAGUGAAUUUGGUGUUAAUUUCAUCUUUGAAUUGCAUACGAGUUUAAAUUCGUAGGUAAAUUUUAUGGUUUGUUCUUUGAUUCCUCUAGAGUUUGUUUUAGGUUUUAUGAGUUUCUGCUGUCUUGAGUGAAUCUGAUGAUCGACUAGAGCUCGGUGUAAAUUUACGGUAUAGAUGUCUAGGUCUUAUGAACUGUUGAGGCCUUUUGGUUUGUUGCCUCGUGUUGAAAGACGCAUGUUCUUUUCAUUUAAUUUAAGUGUAAAGAGUGAUAAUGAUUAAUUGAGUUAUUUUUGGGUAACAUAAUCAUGAUAAUGUAUUCAUGGAAAUUGUACUACAGCGUAAUGUACGUCUGUCUUAAAGCCUUGAUACAUCACGUUUAUAUUUUUCCCGCCAUAGGUUUGUAGGAUCAAGUAAUAUUGUAUAGAAUGGUCGAUCUGUAAAUUUGUGUUUUUUUAGUUCCAAAGUGAUUGGCUUCUCUAUUGUUAUUGUGGCAUAGCAUUUGCCGUCGUGCAUCUAUGGGACACGCCACGUCCCACCUAAUAAUUAUUGCCAUAACAUUGUAUUUUUACUUUCUCUCUUGUAGUCUUAUGACGCCAUCAGUUUGGAGCGAUCAAUUUUUCUCGUUGGUGUUAUAUGUGUUGUGGAUGUCCAAGCCAUUUGAAGCUUUAUUCUGUCGUUAAUAGAUGAAUCUUUUAAUAUCCGCAUGCUUGUUUCUUUUUUUUUCUAUCUUUUUUUUUUCUCCCUAUCUUCUCAUGUUUGACUGUCGUUAUGAUAUUUCUUGUGUACCUUUUCAAGCAAUAUCAGUCAUUCUUGCUUUUAGAAAAUUUUCUUUCAAAACCCAUGUCACUCGGUGAACCAUGUCACUCGAUGGAAGGAUCAGGCUUAUUUUUCUCAUUGAAGAAAUGCAAAGUUAAUGGAACAUUAAUAUUUCUAUUCCAGUUUCAUGUACAUUGACCGUUUCAAUCUCCUAUUCUUCAACUGUAGGCCCCAACUUUGGUAUGUCUUCACUUAUUAGGAACAACUUUCUCUUUAUUUGACGCCACAAAUUUACUAUAUUUACUAUAUCUGUUAACUCUAACUCAUUCCUAGGGCUAGUGAAUUUUUAGAAUCCAAUCGGCAUGAAUAAUGACAACAUCUGUGUUUCUCUUGUUACAAAGUUUAUAGGUCCUGUUCUUCUUACACUGUUUUAUUAAAAUAUCAAUUUCAUCCCCAUUCCAAAUAUCCUUUUGAAGAUGAUGCGUGGAAGAUCUUCAGUGUUUUGUUAUCGCUUCCAAAUAUGAGCUUUUUUCAAAAUAAAAGGAAAACAAAAAAUGUAAUACAUCUUACUAUCUUAGUGCACUCAGAUGCAUCGUAGUGGAGAAAAUCUACAAAAUCUUAAGGCUUUGUGUCACUUAAUUGGGGCUAGCUAGAUGACAAUCUUUUCAUUCCUUGUGUAAAAUAGUACAUCUUUGUGAAGUAUUGAAUGCUUAGAUGACAAUCUUUUCAUUCCUUGUGUAAAAUAGUACAUGUUUGUGAAGUAUCUUACUAUACAUGGGCGUCAUUAUAAGCAUGCACUCUCUCUUACUUAGUAUUCUCAUAUUUAUAUUAUUAAUUGUUUUUUUGGCAAUUGUAUGUAUUAUCCCCAGGGAUUACAUUUGCAAGAACUGCAAGCGUCCUGGACACUAUGCCAGAGAAUGUCCUAAUGUUGCUGUCUGCAACAACUGCGCUUUUCCAGGGUAAAAUAAUGCUAUGCAAUUUGUUUUUUUUUGUUUUUUUGUUUUUUUUUUUUGGGGUUUCCUCUGACUAUUAAGUAUUAAUACAAGAUAUGAUAGGCUGUUCUUUUCCUUGCCCUUCUGGAAAGAAAAAUACAUGUGCGAUUUAGUCCAUAGAAGUUUCACUCAGCAUCUUGUCUAUGCUAUUCAAUUCUAGUAGUACUGUAGUAGUUAAUACUACAACUUUAAUUCUUCCUAGCUUUUUUGUUUAUUGAAUCUAUCCUUUUCUCCUUUUCCAAAAACCCCUUUAUGUUACUAAUUCAUCUUCUCGGUAAUAGGCACAUUGCGGCUGAGUGCACCUCCAAGACCGUAUGUUGGAACUGCAAGGAGAAUGGGCAUGUCGCCAGUGAGUGCAAGAAUGAGCCGGUGUGCCACACAUGCAACAAAACAGGCCAUUUGGCACGUGACUGCAGUGGGCCAAACAACAAUGACAGGUUAUGCAACAACUGCUUUAAACCUGGGCACAUCGCGAUAGAGUGCACCAAUGAGAAAGCCUGCAACAACUGCCGCAAGACGGGCCACCUGGCCCGUGACUGCCCCAACGACCCGGUCUGCAACCUCUGCAACGUAUCUGGCCACGUGGCCCGCAACUGCCCCAAGUCUUCGACGAUGCUGGCAUCUGAGAUCCAUGGAGGACCCUUCCGUGACAUCAUGUGCCGCAUGUGCGGGCAGACAGGGCACAUAAGUCGGGAUUGCGUUACCGUUAUCAUCUGCAACAACUGUGGUGGGCGUGGCCACAUGGCGUAUGAGUGCCCAUCAGGACGGAUCUUUGAUCGUGGGUUUCGCAGAUACUGAUUGGCAUAUUAAUUAUAACUCUUUUAGGUGCAUGUGGGAUAUAUCUUUGUUCACUAAUGUAUUUUGCAGAUAUUUAAGGUUUUCAGCAGGCUGCCAGGUUGUUCAUUUUGGUGGUUUCGCAUCCGGAGUUACUGUUUGAGAGUAGGCAUGUUUUAAUUGCCCUCUGGCCGAUUUAGAAUUUCAGUUUAAUCUCCCGAUUCUCGCGUAUGUUGUCAAAUUGAAGAGAUGGAGCGUGUUUUUUUUUACUCUUUUAUUCGAGCUAUUUAGCUAUUUUCUGACUAUUUUUAUUUCGCCGGAUGCUGCUUCAACCUGCGCGAUUAUAGUUUUACUGGAUCGUAUGUGCUCAGGGAGAUUUCGUUGCUUUUCCUUGCAUUGUGUUUGUCAUUUUCAAUGUCUCGUUUGAUAGUUAAUUUAAGCAGGUUGUGUUUGUAACUCUCGAGUUACCUGCUGGAAAGUAAGUAUGGUAUGUUGUGUUGUUUUCCUUUCUUUUUGAAAACAGCACUGAGAAUGUAAUGUAGGCAAAUCUGGUUUGCACAAGAGUAUUAUUAUUAUAUGAUUUAUUAUUAGUUGAGUAUGACUUAUUAUUUGACAAAUGGGAUACAUGGAAUUUGAUCGCGAUCAGGGUGAAUUUGGUCUGUAUUUAAUGCUUGGUGACUAUGUAAUGCUUCACGACGAGCAUCCUGGCUGGCUGUUUUUCUUUUGUGGAUAAUGAUAAGUAAUAUUGCUUUGUAAAGAUCACUGCCUCCUCCUAAUUUUUUUAACAAAAAAUUUACUGUUAUUUAUAUAAAAUUAUAUAACAACGCCAGGAAACACUGCACCUUUUUCUUUAUUAUUUUUUUUUAGAAAACAGGCUAGGUUCUGUACUGUGGAAAAAAAAUAUAUUUAUAUAGUCUGACACUUCAAGAUCUCAAGUUUCUUGUAUCGUGCAAUGUUUUCUCAGGCCUUCUCUGUCACCUUUUAAAGAAAAUCCUAUGGAAUCGUCAUUUUAUGAUGGUCAGAAAUGAAAAUAACAUAUUUGAGGUUCUAGGUUCUAACUACAAAGUCCAGUUGUUCUAGAUUUUGAGUUAAUUUUUUUUUUUAAAAAAAUAUGAACAAAAUGGUAGCAUGUUAUCAUUCUUUCUCUCUCAAAAACGGAAAAAGAAGAUAAAAAAGAAAAUAGGGACAUGGUACUAACCAGGAUAUGGUUAGCACAAGUGAGAGAUAAAUAACCUUACAUAAUUCUAUGUAGUGAACAGAAACAAAAAGGUGUCGUGGUGUAGUUGGUUAUCACGUCAGUCUAACACACUGAAGGUCUCCGGUUCGAGUCCGGGCGACGCCAUUUUUUAAAUUAUGAUUCUUUUUGUUCGUUGGUUUUAUCUUUCAGCCACCAACUCAACUAAUUAACAGGCGUCUUAAAAGCGCCUAGAAUAAAUAAAAAAAAUAAAACGGAUAGUGUUACUAUCUUUCUUAAAAAAAAAAAAAAAUCCAGAAAUAAAUAAAAAGUGGAAAACAAAAUAUAUGUUGAGAUCCUUCUCUCUUAAAAAAAAAAAAAGGACGGACCCAGAAAUAAAUAAAAAGUGGAAACCAAAAUGUAUGUCGAGAUCCUUUGAUUUUGAAUUUAGAGCUCAUUUUGGCCUUUUGAUCUAAAUGGAAAAUAUCCGGAAUUACAUUUCUAAUUUUAAUAGACAGUUGUUGAGCACGGAGAAACUGUUCACAAUCCAAGCUCAACAAUUACCGGCAUUUUACCACCAGAGACAAAAAAUUUGAUAGUUGAUAUUCGAAAUUCCAAAUUCGAAUUCUAGUUGAUUCACAUUUUCAGUUAAACUUAUUUUUUUUAAAAAAUAAACGAAACAGAUAGCAUGCUACCUUUCUAAAAAAAAAAAAAAUAAUUACUAGCACAUUUUACCCAUAUGUAUAACUUCCGCAAAAGCUCUAACUUUUUAUUUGUCACGUAUGCAAUUUUUGUUUCUCACAAAAAAAAAGAAAAAGAAAAAGAAGCAAUCACAAGCCGAGCCAAACAAUCCUUCCUCAUCUUCAAACAAUGUGCCACAACAAAUAUUUACACAAAACCAUUGGCAAUGUUCCAAACAAUAGCAUAGCAAUCUACUUCCAUUCAAUUAUUCGAAGAAGACUCGAAACAAAAGGCGAAGAGAAAAAUCACAGCUACCAAUUACGUUGAAGACCAAGGCAAUGAGAGCCAAGCCAAGCUUAACAACCGCUGUUGUUUCAAAUAACAUUUGCAAUUCCUGGUGGAGCUCAUAACCACUGAAUCGCAAGAAUGUGCGGCAAAAUGUACCAUAACUUAUAGCGCUAAAUCAUAAGAAAGAGACCAGAUUAGUAGAAUUAAAAGCACAACAAAGUCGUGUGGCAGAAAUUCAUUAAUGUAAAGCUUAGUCUUUUUUCCGAAAAAAAAAUAGUCCCUAAAUCUACUGCAGUAUGACCCUAAUAUGACUCAAAACGGCAUCAGUAAGACGAAUACUUCCGACAUUAACUUAGUACCACACUCGCACUAUUUUGGUCAUGAUUUAACUCAAAUCAGUAUUCGCUAUCAACCAAAUUGGUUAUUUCCAUAGGAAGAACAUCAUCUUAGCAAAUAAAUAUUCAAUCUCCCAACUUUUGAAAGUUCUGCACCAACAAAAAAUUACUAGAUACUUAUAAUUUUUUGCACAGAAAAGAGACCAAUCCAGAAAGACAGAAAUCGCGAAUAGAAGGACGAAGAGGCAACGAGCCAUAAAUAGAACCAUAUAAAAGUAAGCACAAUUAAUAUAUUUCACCACAGCAUGACGAACAAUACAAGACGAACAUCGAAAAUGGCAUUGAUGUAAAUAUCAUCCUCAAGUCACUGCUGUCAAUUUCCCAGGUCAGGUAAAAAUUGACCCCAUAAAUAAGACGUGCUAUAAGCUCUACGAUAUGUUACAAAAUCUUCAAUGCAUGUUAUCUUUCCCAAGAAUUGUGUGUGUAUCUUCUUGGCUCCUAAGUGUUUCCUUUAACCUAAAAUAAUCUCCAUUCCUAACGGUCCAAUGCAGAAGAUAAGGUAUAAUAUUCCAGAUUAGUGGUGAGCUGUUUGCAAUAAGAAACUUGAUGGGAAACAAGGUUCUAUUCUGCUGCUGACAAUUAACCUUUUGCAACAUACAAUCUUCUGUUUCCAUCUUUCAACAACAAAAUUUCAUAACUUACCUACCACUAGUUUUGUGUUAUUGAUAAUUAAUUUGCUGAUUUCACAAAGCACUUCAACAAAAAAACACCUUAUAGCUUGACUCAAGCUAUCAAAGUCAACCAUCAUAUGAUCAAAACCCCAAUCGAAGCCAACAAUAACAAAAAGAAUAAACCCUACUUUUAACUAUAAACUUCAAGAUAUGACCUUAUCCUAUUAUAGUUUAUUGCCUUAUUUUUCUCCAGUACAGAUUAAUUCCUCUCAAAAUCCUUCCAACCAACCAGCUAGCAUAUAGGAUUUUGCUCCAUGAUUUUUCUGACUCCAAAAGCAUAUAUGAAGACAAUCUCAAAUUCCUAAGAAAUAACAAAAUGCAAUUAAGAAUCAAAAUUAAUGGACUAGGCUCAAAAUGGAUUUAACGAAAUCAAACGUAACCUAAUCUACUUUAUUGGAGCAUACAGGUUUACCAGUUUCACAAUUACAUAAAAUUCUGGUUGAUUGACCAUGAGCUAUAGUGAAGUGUUCGAGCAAAUCAAAUGUAGCACAAGGCAAAAUUGCCUACUUCAGAUGAAAUCCUACUAAUGUUUGCAAACAAAGAUAUCAAAACAGGUAUAAGAACUGUUAACACCAUACUACACAUUUUGCAACAUCAAAAGAGUAUGAAUACAAGAACGUGAUUCAAAAUUUACGAAUCCAUCACAUAGAAAGAUUAUUAUGGUAAGCAGUAAGAGUCAAGACAACACUCAAAUGGGUGCACAACCAUCUAAAAGGAAACAAGGGUUUUGCCUGUCCGGCUACCACCGCAAACCGCUGCAAUCAUUAGCUUGUAAACAUCCUUCUACAAGGAAACACCCAUCAGAUAGGUCCGGGAGAAUAACAAAUGGCAUAGCCAGAAUUAAUGAUGUUAUUCAAGGGCAAAACAGUAUAGUAUGUAAUAAACUGAAAAAGAAAUAGCCAUAUUAUCUAGCCAACACAUUGUCCCGUGAAAUUAUGAACACCACAGGUAAGCAGCCAACUAACCCAUUGCAUUACGAAUAAAUGCAGCUUCAGUUGGCGCGGCCUCUGAUGACAUCCAAUCCCAUCUCAGUAGGAUCAGUUGCCUGGAGUUCAACCUGAAUACCAUCCAACUCCCUCUUGAACCUGUCCUUUGAGCUAGCAUAGAGCAUCUUACUCCUCACCCUCGAAGUGUCCGGCGACCUUUCGAUAAACACAAGAGAUAGCUCACUACCAAGCACUAUUCACCUCAUCGACAGUAACAAUAAUACAAUAUAAGCAAAAUAAAGGGAUUACCAAGCAAUGAAGAAUAUCUUGCUCUUCUGGCAAUUCUCUUCCGUGACGAAAUCAAAGUCAUAGACCGCGUAUCUGCACUCGUCCGCUGGGAGGCUCGCGGUGAAAUCAUCAUAGUUCAGAGUCGGCUCACCGACCUUCUCCACGAUGAUCUGCUUCAGCUUCUCCUCGAUCUUGAAGAUUACGAAGCGGUGAGUCCUCUUCGCCUUCAGCUCCAAGAAUUUCAGCUUACACUCAUCGUUCACAGCCAUUCCCGACGCCGCAUUGGCCUACAAGCGCAUCGAUCAACAAAAUACAAAGCUAAAUCAUGCAAAUAUUCAAAAAUUACAAAAGUAACGGGAGAUCUACGAAGUAAAGAGGAUUCAGGUGGGAGAAGCUCAAGCGACAGUGUUGGAUAUAUCUAAGCAUUCUAAUUUUACGCCUAAAUAUUGCAAUUCGUGUACCAAAAAUAGAAAAGAAUACACAUCAUCUACCACAAAUGAAUCAGUGAACAGUGAAAUAAUCAGAUCUACGAAUAGAAUCGUAAUAAUCUGAGGAUAAUCCAGCUACGACGGAUAAAGCAGCAUGGAUCGCGACUUAUAGAGCUCAAAUGGCGCCCAAAAAUGCACGAGAAACAGGAAAUCAACGAAAACCCUAGGAUCAGAGAGGAAACAAUCCGAAGAGGAGAAGAAGCUUGUACCAUUUCUCUCCGCGGUGGCGAUCGAUCGAAGAUGAAAGGGAGACGACGAGUCGACGAGGAUGAAGAGAGAAACUCGAGGAGAGAGAGAGAGAGAGAGAGAGAGAGAAUGUGAACGCGAUGAUGGAAGAGGGGUGGUGUGGGGAAGGAGAGCGGAGCGAAAAGUGAUGAGACGUGAAAAAGAAGGGGAAUAAUAGCUUUCGGCGUGGUAGGGGCGGUGGGAUUUUUUAAUUUAUAUAUUUAUAUAAUAUAAUAUAAUAUUUUAUUUUUGAUAAUUUAAAUCGUUUCAAAAUGUUUAAAAGGUGAAAAAAAAUAAGAAGAGAGAUUAGUCAGAUGACUCCUCCAACUAAUCAGUUAUUCUGAAAUAGACCCCGGAAAUUUAAUUUGACUUAGAUUCUUUUACUUAUUAUGUUGAUUUAAAGCAUUUUAAUUUUGUAAGUGAUUUGGUGCUAAAGAGCUAGAGAAUCCGAAACAAAAGACAUAUAUAUAAAGAAUGGCUGCUAUUCUCAUCUCAUAACAAUACUAGAAAAUCAUUGAGACGAACUUAGUAAACAUAAACAUAAACAUAGAACACUACAAGGCAAAAAAUAAAAGAAAAAAUCAGUCCAAAACUAUUAUAUUUAAUCGAAUCAGUGCAAUUUGCGAUGUAUUAUUCCUUAGAAUUAAAUGAAAUAUUUAAAUUCUAAAAGUCGAAGCACUAAUUUUAUACUUCUAUUUCUAUUAUAUUAAAAAAAUUUUAAAAUAUUUUAGAUUAUACUUUUUGGACCAAAAAGCGUAAACCUGGGCCAAAAAGGCCCAUAUCACGAUGUCCGGUUCGGUCCGGUCCAAGUCAUCAGACUACGGAACCGGUUCUAAAAGGCCAAGGCCCAAUUCAAAUAUCGGCCCAUAACUAAACCCUAACUUCCUUCUCAUUCUCCCCCGAACCCUUAAAACGCCUCCUCUAUUCGAACCCUUUCUCUCGCCGCCGUUGUUCAUCUUCUCCUUAGCUCGCCUCUCGAUUCGUCGUCCUCUUUCGCUCUCCUGCUCUCGAUUUUUCUAAGCAGGUGAGGUAGAUCUUUCGCUGAGUAUGCGACUAAUACUUGUUUAACGCUCCUUUAAUCUGAUCUCGACUUCCAUUUUCGCGGUAAUCUAUGAAUCUAAUCAGUUUUUCCCCACCUUGAUGUGGUCGAUUUUAUCUAUUUUUAGCCUUUUUUUUAUUGUUUUGUUGGAUCCUUUGGGGACGGGACGAUCUGGUCUUUUUGUUGCUCUUCACGUAGUGUCUUUUACUGUGUAUCAUGGGAAAAGGUUGGUUUUUGGUUAUUUUUUGAUGAUUUUGUAACAUUUUAUGAGAAAAUUUACGGGCUGAAGUUGAUUAAGUGAGAUGUUCAGGGGCUAAUCCCAGGUACCAAGGUAUUGCAGUAGUACCGUAUAUCCAUAAAUUUUACUGUUAUUGUAACUGUUAACAUUAUAUGAAACGGCGUAUAUAAGAAUUUCUGGGAGGUUUACUUGAUGUUUGAUGAUUAAUGUUAUCAAAAAGAGUGCGUGAACAAUCUAACGGGAGUUGUAUUUUUUAUGUAAGGAUGAAUUAGUAAAGUAACAAGAAUUACCAAACAAGCGGUGUGGAGAAACACAUAAAUAUAUUUGUUUACGAGAACAAAAAUAGAUAGAGAAUUGCUAUAAUAUUAGAUGUAUGGUUAUGAGUUUCCAUAGAUUUCAUGCUUUUUCCCGUCCUUUUGUUGAUUCUUGGUGGUAAUGCGUUCGAUCUGAGAUAUUAACACGGUUGCGGUUGUAGCUGCAAAAUACCCUGCGUUUGGUACGCUUAACUUGGCCCAUAUCAGCCUUGGUCUCUUUGAUUAUCACGGAAGUGAUCGGUCAAACAUAUGUACUUUGCAUGCUCCGGUCUCGCUUCUCCUGAUAAUAUUUUAUUUACUAUCUAAUAUUAGAAGCUCAUAUGUUUUUCUUUCUGUGGCUAGAAAUUGCUGAGGGAAGUUUUUAACUGCAGACCCAAAACUUGUCUCUUUCCAUAUCAUGCUAUGUAUAGAUAGGAUGAAUUUCUGAAAUUUUGUUUGGUCAUACUUUUUACUUAGAGCUAUGUUGUGAAGGAGAUAAACGGAUAAAACAAAAAUACUAGCUUUUUAAGGCUAAAUCUGGAUAUUAUGACAUCUUCAAAUUUCUGUUGUACCCAAUUUGUUGGGCUGUUAGCUCCAAGCAAUUUCAACUUGAGUCCACAUUGGGCAUGGACAAGCUUAACUUUGAAUUUGGGUUUUAUUUUUCAUGGAAUACAGAUAUGGAUUUUUGUCCGUAAUAUAUAUAUUAUGUGGUUUUUCGGGUGUGUGUUAAUUGACUCAAUUGGCAUCUUUCAUUUAGUUCCUCCUUACUCUUGCAGGAUUCACAAGGAUGGUGAGAGUUAGUGUUUUGAAUGAUGCUCUUAAGAGCAUGUACAACGCUGAGAAGCGUGGGAAGCGACAGGUGAUGAUUAGGCCGUCGUCAAAAGUGAUCAUCAAAUUCCUUCUUGUUAUGCAGAAGCACGGUUAGUACUCUUAUUAAUUUCUCGUCUCUAUUGAAAAUGUUGCCUAAUUUAUAUUCAUAUUGAAUUGUUUUGCAGGAUAUAUUGGCGAGUUUGAAUAUGUUGAUGAUCACAGAGCUGGUAAAAUCGUUGUUGAGUUGAAUGGGAGGUUGAACAAAUGUGGUGUUAUUAGUCCUCGCUUUGAUAUUGGUGUUAAAGAAAUCGAGCCGUGGACUGCAAGACUGCUUCCUUCACGUCAGGUCUGUUGCUUACCUGUAGCUUUGGGAAGUCCAGAGGAUUCCAUUUUUUAUAUUCUCAUUUCAGCUAUUUUACUUAAAUAUGAAUUCGACCAGAUGUAGUGUUACAUUUUGCUUAAUUAUGUGUUGUACAGUUUGGGUACAUUGUCCUGACAACUUCUGCUGGUAUCAUGGAUCAUGAAGAGGCUAGGAGAAAGAACGUUGGCGGUAAAGUACUUGGCUUUUUCUACUAGAAGGCAUUUUUGUUUGCGAGAUGGAGGCUAAUAUUGGUAUAAUUUAUGAUUAAGAAUAUGAUUUUCUGUGAGGAACUCUUUAGAGGAAUUUUGGAACUUCGAUCAAAGCUGUUCUUUUGUUUGUGUUUACUGUGAACUAUCAAAUGCAGUAGGAAAGUGUUGGUGUUUCCUUUGAAGAUUGUGUAAUCUGAAUUCUUGCUUUAUUUCAAACCUUGUUCUGCAGCGUAGAAAUUUGAGUUCAAAUUAGUUUUUAAGUUUCUGCAAAAAUCUUGAGUGAUGCUUGUGGUUGUUGAGACUAAGUAACAUGAGAAACAAAUGAUUUACGGAAACUAUUUUUUCCAUCGCCCAUCUGCAAUUGCAUUGAGGCGAUGAAAUACUCACUUGUUGCCAAAUAUUCUAAGAACCACUGCAGGGAUCCCAGAUGUGUUCCUCAAUUUUCUGCAGUGUUAAUCAGCCAUUGGGUACUAUCUAGCACAGGUAACGCAUGACGUAUGUUAUGUAUAAGCGCUUGUUUCAAGCGCAUAAGUUACAAGUAGAUAAAGAUAUAUGAAAAAGAUGUACUAUCAAAAGAUAAAUAGAAAAGUCAUAAGUUAACAAAUAAUUAGGGCUCUUUGAAUUACUGAGCAUUAUAAAAAUCUGAUCAGUGAUGAUACAACCAUCAACGGUAAACUCCAUAACAAUGUUUCAAGAUUAAAAGAAGAAAACAAGGAUUGCCAAAGAUUUCUAAGUUGCCCUAAACAGCCUCUGUUGAUCACCGCACAAUCUCCGCAAUCGAAGAUGCAGCAUCCCGCCACCGCUGCCGCCGCCGCUGCGACUCAGGCCAUUGUCGGGGGAGCCCAAAAAUAUGCUCGAACUCCGUCUUGGACUCGGAGCUUAAGAUGGAGAGGAGCUCCAUGGGAGGGAGGAGUUGGGCUUUAGUAAGAAGCUAUAUAUGAGGCUUGAUGAAAUGUUUGGUAAAGCUUUUGUAGAUAGAGAUGGAGGGGAUCUUCUCAGCAUAUACUCCAAGCACUUCCUCUUCUUUUUGCCUCUCUCUUCUCUUUCCAUUCUCCUUUUGAGCUCUCACUUUUUCUGCCUAUGGGUAAUUGGGAACCUAGCUAAGCUUCUUUGUCCUCUUACCGUUUUUCUUUUUUUUUUUUAGUUAUUUUAUGGAUGGGCAGAGCUUUAUUAUUGAAGAAUUAGAUCAUAACUUCGACAACUAUAGAUAUUGAAGUGCGUGUUUGGUAUCUAGAGGAGAAAAAAAAAUCUAGAAUGUAUCAAUUAUAUUACUGAGAUGUUAUUCUCAACCAAUAAGAUACCUUUUUUAAAUUUACCCAUCUUAUCAUGAUUGUUAGAAAAAUAUUUUUAUUAAACUUUUUUCUUAAAAAAAUAGAUGUGAUUUGAUAGUUAUUACUAAUGUGGUGUAAAUGUGACAUAGUAGAUUUUCUCUUAAAAGAGGGUUUUACAAAAGUUAUAUUGCUGAUGUAGUAUUUUUAACCAAUCAAAUUACUAUCUUAGGGGAAAAAUUUUAGAAUGCAACGGGUAUAUUAGUGACGUGGUGUAACAAACCAAUCAAAUUAAUUUUUUUAAGAAUAUGUGUCCCAUCAUGAUUGUAAAAAAGUAUUUUUAUUAUACUUUUAUUUGAAAAGAAGGAAUGUAAUUGACUUGUUAUUAAUGACGUGGUGCAAGUGUGACAGUGUAGAAUUUCUCCUCUUUAGGAGGCCAACGCACCAACAGAUCCGAGUAAGACUCUACUUGGUGGAAUGUAAUUUUAUAAAUAUAAUAUAAAUUAUAUAAUCACAUAAAUCAACGAAUGUUUUAUUAAAAUUUAAAAAGAAAAUAAUAUUUAUAAGUUUGCACUUAUGUCUCUUUCGAGCCGUUUGAUUGAAUGUAAUUAGAAUAUAAUUUAGUUAAAAAAAUAUAUGUAAGUGGAGAUGCAUCAUUAAUACAUACAUAUAUUUUGUUUGGCUGAAUAUAAUAGAAUAUAUUAUAAGUAUGAAUAAUUUAUUUGGUUUAUACAGUUGAGAAUCACAUAUGUAAAAUUUUAGUAUCUUAUGUAAUUGAUGGUAAAAUUAUCUCUAAGAUAAGUAAUUUUUGUCGAGGAACCAAAUUUGUUGUAUUAUGCAAUUUCCCAAAAUUUGGUGUGGUCACCUUUUCUGGUCACUUUUCGUGGGUCCGAAACAGUUGUUACCAGUCCAUUUCCGACGUGCCAGCUCAGCAUGAUCCCAACGAGCCCCACCAAAAGGAUUAAAGGAUCCUCUACAGUGUAACGCCAAUAUAUCACGGUUGUGCGCAUAUGCCGACGCCGCUUUGGUGCGGGCCCCACAUGUCAGCCUCACACCCUUAUAUAUAACCGUUAGACCGUAGACGGUUCCUCCUUCCUAAGAGCCUGCACCUGGUGUAUCCUUAUGCACUUAGUAAUUAAUGCUUUAAAUAAACGAAUAUUGUAAGGUUUAUUUAAAAAUAUACUAACUUUAAAAAGUUAUUAAUUAGAUAUCAAUUUACAAUAUUAGAAUCUGGGUGUUAUAAAGUGCGUAUUAUACUAAAUUAGAUUCUAAUUUUGAGCCCUCCUUAAUAAGAUUUAAGAAAUAUGGUGUAUGAACUAUAGUUAUGAACCAGGUUCAGGCACUAUUUACUCCUUGUUUCGAGAGAGGAGCAUUGAAUGAGCAAAUCGACGAGGUCGUGUUCAAAUUACAAACGAUGUCGAUCGCGUAAAAAUCAUCUCGAACUCUAAUCCCUCGAUCCAUCGCGAUUAGAUCCCUUGUUUCCUUCGAUCUAAUCGGAAUCCGGUACACCUAUUUCACCCUUUGUUUUCUCGAUUUAAUCCUCGUUUUGCGCUCUUUUUUGAUAUGUUUGUUUUGGAUUUAGGGAUUAGGGUUCUCGAUUCCCUUCGAUCGGAUCUCCUUUUGGGCGAAUUUUUUGCGGUCUUCGUCCAUGGCUGCGCCACCGGCUAGGGCUAGGGCGGAUUACGAUUACCUUAUAAAGCUUCUCCUGAUCGGUGAUAGUGGUAAGGUUUUAGUCUACGAUUGGAUCUCGUUGUUGUUGUGGCUUCGUGUUUCCAUUUCUCUGCGACUUCUAUUUGGUUUUUGUGAUGCAUCAUCGAAAUGGUUGUUGAUUUGUUCCUAUUAUUAUCAAUGUUUGAUGUGGUUGAACUGGUUGAGGAUAGAGAUCAUUGGCAGUGUGUCUUUGAGAUCUUAAGUUAUGCUUAGUUUUGAUGAUUGAAUUAGGACUUCCAUCUUCGAGGAGGUAUUUGAUCAGGCUGUGUUUAAAUCAAAUUUAGAUCUUAGAGGAUGUUGGUGUGAUGUGAUCAUUUCCGAAUGUUCACACGUACAAAAGUAAAUAAUGAAAUAUGAUGAUACUAAUGAAAACAAGCACCAUUUUGCUGCUGCAUUUCAAAAAAAAAAAAGGAAGUUAAUUUUGACCUUGUGUUUGGAUGCAGGUGGUCUACUUCUUGUAUAGUCUGCACAUGGUAGUGAUAAUUUUAUGACUGACUGUAGCAAAAUAUGAUAGAAGUUUACAUUCAAUUUUUGCAUUGUAUUGGUUACUUGAUUGGAUGGUGCGAGCCAUUCUAAAGGACUUGAAUCAUGGAUAUAGAUCUUACCUCUCUUAAUUUUUGCUCGGCUGGUUACUUAGAAAUUCACUAGCUUGUGAUAUCUCGAUUCCUUUAUAUAUAAUCUAUGCAUAAUUUUGAUCAGCAAUAUUUUGAACUGUGGAAGGUUGGACUAUACUUGUUAUAGCAGAGUAGGAAGGAUUGCUGUUUUGUUCAAUCGAUUUUGAAAUCUUGCUCAAUAAGUAGUCAUGGUUCACAAAAAUUAUCAUUGAUCGCUAAUGAUAUUUCUUCCAUGAUUGUCUUCUUUGAUGGCUAACAAAUACUGUAUAUUUACUAUUUGUUGAGUGAUAUUCAGUGUAAAACCAUCCAAACUGGUCAGAUUAGUUGGGAAUUUAUCUAUGCUUUAACACAAUUUAAAAUAUUUGACAUGGAACUUUUGGCCCUGUAGGUGUUGGUAAGAGUUGCCUCCUUUUGCGAUUCUCGGAUGGCUCCUUCACCACCAGCUUCAUUACUACAAUUGGGUAACUUCUGUUUCUGUUAUGGAGACCAGUAUCCAUUUGUUGAGCUUGUCUACUUUUUUCAAUUUCCCUUCUUUUCUGUAUUAUUAAAUGAUCAGAAUUCUUGUUGGUUUACUCACAUGGGUGACCUCUCCACAGAAUUGACUUUAAGAUAAGAACAAUUGAGCUGGAUGGUAAGCGGAUCAAACUGCAGAUUUGGGACACAGCUGGUCAGGAGCGCUUUCGGACUAUUACAACUGGUAGGCUGGUUACUUUCUUCUAUGUUGACUAAUUGGCAAGCAUAAAUGGAUCCAUCAAAUAAAAUUUUCUGACUAAUUUAAAUAAUCAACACAGCAUAUUACCGAGGGGCCAUGGGUAUUUUGCUGGUUUAUGAUGUCACCGACGAGUCAUCAUUUAACAGUACCUUCUUACUGAUUCUCUUGAUAAUUUAAAACUUGGACCUAUUCCUGUUGCUUAUCCUUAUUCUGGUUCCUGCAUUGUCUAGACAUAAGAAACUGGAUCAGGAACAUUGAACAACAUGCUUCUGAUAAUGUGAACAAGAUUUUGGUGGGCAACAAGGCUGACAUGGAUGAAAGCAAAAGGGUAUGCCUUACUGGACUUGCAUUUUUGUUGACAUGUUGCUCCUGAAUAUUUAAUUGCUGGGUAAAUUGAAGGAGAGGUCUUCAACCUUUACCUUUUAGUUAUAUUUUGGUUUAGUCCCCGACCUUUCAAUUGUUGUAACUGGCUCCCCUGCAUUCUGUUGUAAGUUUACCAUUUCUAUUCCAUUUAAUUGGAUGGAAAUGUCAAUGCCAGUGCCAAGCAACUGCUACAUUAGCAAUUGUCAAACUUUCUCAUGUGCAUGUUGGGGUCAGUUUUACUUAGAAGGUGGCUUACGUGCUGCUCAUGUGGACUUGUACAUCCCUACCAUUUGGAAUUAAUGAGAAGGGUUGGACUACAACGAAAUGCCAAGGGGAGAGACCUAAUUGUAGCAAUUGACAGGUUGCUGAUUAAUUUAGAACUUCAAAAAAGGUUUGGAACUCGCGGUGCGAUUUACCCUUUAAUUUCUUAUGGCCCCACCAGUUUUUGGACUCUCUCAAUUCCUUAUUUUAAGUUUAAAUUUCUUUGAUAUAGGCUGUUCCUACUGCAAAGGGGCAAGCACUUGCCGAUGAAUAUGGCAUUAAGUUCUUUGAAACUGUGAGUUAUACAUUGUUAGAAUCCCCCACUUCUGUUAAGACCUUCUGAAGAAUCUUACCUGCUAUUCUGAAUGUAUGUCUCAUCUACUGCAGAGUGCAAAAACAAACUUAAAUGUGGAGCAGGUAUUUUUUUCAAUCGCUAGAGAUAUCAAGCAGAGACUUGCUGAGACUGAUUCAAAACCUGAGGUAGAAAUCGUUUUCUGGGCUGAUAUGCAGGGGAAUACCCUAUUAUUGCUAUUCGUACAUUUGCAUGCUGAAAUUUAAAACCGACGUUUUUCUUUAUAAGUGACGGAUUUUGCCUCAGGAGCACAAACAAAGGAAGCAUAGUGAUGAAAUAUCUCAUUUGAAAGCAUAGGUUUCACAAGGCGAAUGUGCGAAAAUAGAUUUUUAUAUGGGAUUCCUGCAGUCUAGUCUUUUAUUAAAUGAUAAAUUCAGAAAAAUUGACUAGCAUUUGCCUGAUUGCAGUUUGACCCGCAAACUUUAAUUUGUUUAGAGAAACCACUAACUUGUUUCCCGUUGCAAUUUUACCAACUUAGGUUGAUUUGGUGCAAAGGGUCUGCUUUUAUCUAAGUUUUGUAUGUUUGCUCUGGCGCAAAAAGCUAAAUUUAGCUCACACAAUAUGGUUUGGUACAAAAAGAUUACCACGGCAUAAUUUAGUUGGUGAAUCUUUUGGAACCAAAUCAAAACUACAUUUUGGGUACUAACUUAUUUUUUUAACUCGCACCAAAUUAAGGUUAGCGGGUCAAAGUUCAAUUAUGAAAAGAUAGUGGGUCUUUAUGACUUCAACCCCUUUAGGGUGGAAAAGUUACCCACUCUCUAGUGGGUGGAUCUCAAAAACUUAUUGCGCUUACAGGAUCGGACGAUUAAGAUUAACAAACCGGACCAGGCCGCUGCUGAGAGUGCUGCAGCUUCGAGGUCAUCUUGCUGCGGUACUUCCUGAUGAUGAAUGCUCUUUGACUUUAUUUGGAUCUAAUUUGUUUUUUAUAGGAGGAUAUUUGUGCGAAGAUAAUUUGAUGAUACGGUGAUGCUUUGUAUUGUUGUCAUUUCAUUCUUUGCAACAACUUCUCUUUGUUUGUAAUGUAUUUCCGGAAUUCUUCGACUCGAAAGCCUUUGAUUUUGGGAUUUGGUUGGCCAAGCUUUUCAUCUCCAUUCUGUGGUGUUAACUUUUGGUCUUUUGCAGUUCAAUUCCAUUUCAUGUUGAUUGUAUGAAUGAAUAAAUACAUCAAGUUUCGCCAGUGCUGAAUUGUAUUGGUAGUCCUCGAACUUGUUGAAUUGUAAUUUGGUCCGUAACCUUUUCCGCAGAAUUUUAUGGGUUAGGGUGAAUUGUAAUUUGGUCCCUGACCUUUUGCUGAAUUUUUUGGUUUAGGGUCGCCAAACCCAUUUUCCAUCCAACUUGUCAGGAGCUUUGAAUAUAAAAAGAAUAAAUGACAAUUUUUCUUGGCCCCCAUAUUACGUCAGGGAUCAAUCAGAGAGUUCAAUUUAAGGUGGGGAUGGUAUUGUAAGAAAUUAGGCAAGUUCGUGAGCGAAUUGUUUAGGUAAAACAGUAUGGUAUGAACUGGAAAACGUCAAAAGUUCGGGGACCUACCACACAUUUUGGGCAACUUCUGCGGGCUAAAUCUCCACGAUCUAGUUCAGAAGGUAUCCAUGUGUUUAUACCUUCAAAAAAAACGUUAGCAAGUUCAUGCUGUUCUCUAGUAACAUUUUAGCACAAUUGUAAGAUGUUAUAAAGAGAGAUUAAAAGUUCGCUGUUGGUUGUGAGAUGAUCGAGCAAAAUUCUUCUAGUAGGUAAAUUAAACCUUUUUUUUUUUUUCUUGUUUUGGGACUUAUUUGUAGACCCUUCCUAGUAGAAGACUUCUUCUAAAACUUGAUAAUGUAUAUAAACUCAAGAAGCCAGAGGCUACGAAUUCCUUUUUUAAAAAAAAGCAGUAACUGAACCUGAGAUCUCAAAGAAAGUUUUCAAAAUAACAAUCAACUAUUCUAUGUAGAAACUGACCGUUCCUAGCGUAAGUGGCGAAGGAUUUGAUGGUUGAUAUCUGAGAUCCCAUCUAAAUAAAUUAUUUCUAAAAGAAAUAAGAAUAACAUGUUACAUUUCUCUCUCAAAAAAAAAACAAAAUUCUAUAUAGAAUAAUGAUCAACUAUUGUAAGUAGUUGUCACGAAGUUAGACUAUGUUAGGCACCACAAAAUUUUUUUGAGAGAAAGAUAGCACUAUCGAUUUUAUUUAUUUUUUUAGAAAAAAACUCAGUUAUAAAUGUGAAACAAUUAGAUUUCGAAAUUGAGAUCUGAAAUGCUAAUCAUCAAGAAUUGCGCUAGGUAUGGUCGGUACAGUGCAAAAAUCAACCUUCCGUGACAAAUUUUACUUUGGAAUGUUAAUGUAACGCUAGUUAGGAUGAGAUAAAGAGGAAUCGGCACGUACAUUUAAUUUAGAUCAUCCUUCUUACACAGUUUAACCUCUCUCUCUCUGUAAUUUAUCUUCUUUGGUGUCUCUCUCUAUCUUAGUAUUCAGAACCAUUUGUAAUCAGGAGUUUACUAGAUAAUAACUUAACACACUAUGCCAUGAAAUGCAAAAAAUGAACCAUCAAUUAACAAUUAUGUACAUCAAGAAAGCCAAAUAAAUACAAACACUUCCCCCUGAAAGAUACGACUCUCACUCCUAAUUAUCCACGACCACUAAAACAGGACCAAAAUUAUAAAACACCAAAAUAAUAAACUAUCCAAAAAACAAGAAGAAGAAGAAAGAAACUAUGUGACAUAUAUGAUGAACUAUGAAUGGAUUAAAAUUAAAAGGUGCAAUCCACCACCAUAGGAAACUUAUGCACGCUCCCCAGUGCGAGCCCAACAAUACUAGUAGUGUUCCGGCACUUCAAUUCGUUCUCCGACGGGGUCAAGUUCAAGUCCAACCACAGCAUCCUCCUCCCCCUCCUCUCCUCCCCCUUGUUUUCGCCCGCCGCGGCCGCAGCGGCGCCGCUUUCGUGCCCCAACGCCUCCCCACCGACGGCCGCGGCGGCGACUCGGUGGCGCCGCAUGUGUCCGCCGAGCGCCUGCCCCACCGCGAACUCGAGCCCGCAUAUCGCGCACUCGUGGGCCCUCGGCUUCGCCUUCAUCUCUGUAUGCCCAUGACUAUUAUUAUUGUUGUUAUUGUCGGCGCCCGCCAGCCGCGGUCGUUUGUGGCUUGCGCGGUGGCCGCCGAGCGCCUGAAAGGACGGGAACUGGCGGUUGCACGUCUUGCACUCGAACACGCGGGCCGGCGACGACCGGCCCCCGGAAAACCGGCUAUAUUCGAUCUCCUCACCGCCGCCACCGACACCGCCGCCGCCUUCGCGGGAGAGGAGCAUCAAUAUCUGUGCCAUGUUGGUGGUGCCUUCCAACUCCACUGCUUCCUCUCCAAAUUGUAACCUCUUCAUGCCUCAACAAAAAUACAGCAGUUAUACGUACAAUUAAAAGUCGCUCAACUGGAAUGUGGUGAAUAAUAAACAAGUUGAACUUUAUAUGAUGUGUUACGCUUAUUAGUAACGCAUAUAUUUAUAGGGAAGAGACUAGAGAGAGAGAGAGAGAGAGAGAGAGAGAGAGUUAAUAAUGUGUCAAGUGGACACCAUAACCUGUUGGCACGUAAGCAAUUAGCUUUUUGUGACGAUGAGGAUAUAUAUGCAACAUUUUUUGGAGUUCCUUUUCUUCUAGAUUUGCGACUUUUUUGUUGUUGUUGUUGUUGUUCCUUCUCAGCAUAUUUUGUGCUGAGUCGUAGAGUUUGAAAAGGGAAAAUAAAAUCGAGUCAACACAGGGUUGUUGCAGCUGUUUUUUUAUUACUCUACUAUUUAGGCAUUAACUCAGUAGGAAACUAGGACUUAGGACUAAGUUAGUACAAGGGAACUUAAACGUGUGGGUUCCGUAGUCUUUGUUUUACUACACGUGAAUUGUUUUCGAGCUCAUCAUCAUUUUUUCCACCUAGAAUUAUAAGUAAAAAAUUUUAUUUUAUUUUAUCUCAUUUUGAGAGAAAAAUAAUAUGCAUGUUACCUGUUUCGUAUAUUUUUUUUAGAAAUAAAUUUAAUUAAAAAUGUGAAUCAAAUAGGAUUCAAAUUUGAUACCUCGGGUACCAACCAUCAAGUACUUUACCACUUGCGCUAGAAGUGAUCAAUAUAUAAAUUUUAUUAGCUAGGAAUAAGACAGAAUGAAUAAUUAACUAUUGUCUAUUGAAGAGUAAUCCGUUGUUAUUUAAGGCGUUAUUAAUGUCGCCCAAAAUAUCAAUUGUGAAAAUUUAACCCGUUAAAAGUUGACGCAUAUACUAGACUUAAUUAGCUAUGAUAUCGAGCCAUUUAAAAUAUCUCUUUUCUUUUUCUUUUUUUUUUUUUUGAGAGAGAUAGGUAGCACGCUAUCCGUUUCGUUUAUUUCAUUUAGAAAUAAACUUAGCUGAAAAUGUGAAUCAAUUAGGAUUUGAACUUGGAUCUCGGAUAUCAACCGCCAAGCCCUUUGCCACUUGCUCUAGGGACGGUCGGUGUGACAUUUAAAAUAUCAAUAUGCAAAACUUCUCAAAUGGCCACCAAUAAUAUUAUUUUUUUUAAAAAAAAUUGGUCUUCUUUGCUUUUCUAAUUUUAUAAAGGCAAAAUUUUGUUACUUUGGGCGCUUGUUGAAUCAGGUGGCAAUCAUGGGCAAAUUUCAAGUAAAUUUGGUCGAUAUUUUGGCCUUAUCUGUUCACAUUUUAUGUAAAACACAUAUGAUUAUAAGUUUGUGCUUCUGAUAAUACCUACCGCGAAUCGGAAUAACGCUUUAUAAGUGUGAUCAAGAUGCCUACAUGUAUAUUCUCAAAAUAAAUAAAUAAAUAAAUAAAUAAACAAUGAUGCUUGAUACACAUACAUUGACAAAUGCCACUGAAACUUACGACUCAAAAGUGAUGGGGUCUAAUCUUGUUGCGACACGUAUGAGGCUUAGGUGCAGCCACAGUAGCAGAGAAUUAAAUGCACUCGUUUGGUUGCGAAACAGCAAUAAUUAAUAAGUGUAUCCAUCUCACACAAAUACCUGUACGAAAAAAUACUUUCUUUACACUCUAGCAGUUCGGAUAUAAAUCAUACAGUUCAUGAUAUUAACAUUUUAAAAUCUCUUUAAAUAUAUAGUAUUAAAAAAAUUAACAAGGCGCGAAAGUAAAUAUUAAUCUUCGAGAGGCUAAAAUAUAAAUUUUACGCUUAUAAUUAAAUUAGGUGUACAGAUAACAUUACUCAAUGUAUGUAUGUAUGUAAUAGAUGACGUCAAUUAAUCCGCUAGAGUACAAAAUUUCAAUGGUACUCCCUCCUGAAACAUUACACGCUGCAGCUACAGGAGACACAUCAGAUAAUGAAUUGAGGGUAACAUAUAAGCUGCCUCCAAGUGUAAGGACCUUGUUUUUGUUGACAACUACAUUGCUAGCAUAUUCUGGCUCCAGGCUUUGUGGAGCCACACUUUGUUGAGUGUGCAUUUGGCUACCUUCUUGUUUAGUUCUAUUGGAUAGUUGAGAGUCUCUUUGGCUUGCGUUAUGGAUCACAUCGUUCAAUUCUGCGGUUGAGAGAAGCACUGAUAUUUAGAAACCAAAAAAUUGGUAGCGAAAUAACUUAUCUCUGCAGCGGUUAAUUGUACUGAAAGAAAAGGCUGGGCCAAACAAGAACUUAUGGCGUGUUUUGUUCGCCAUUUUUCACUUAAGAAUCGAAAUCGAAAUGGAUGAAUUUAUUUGUGGGUAUUCGAUAUGCGGGAGUUCUAUAACAAUUUCGAUUUCCAGGUGAAUGAGAAUCCUUCAAUUUCUGAUUUUCAUUCCGAUUCUUUUUUUCAUUUUGAACCAAACACGCCCUUAGUAUAAUGAUAAAGUUUUUGAGGUCAUAACAUACUAUUUUCAAUUCAAGUUCUAAGAGUAGUCACAUAAAUUCAUCAAAAAAAAAAGAAAAGAAAAGGAAAGCUAAAGAUAGAAGUGAUGAGGUAUGUUAUUAAUGGCAGAUCAAGUGCAUUGAAUAUGGUCAAUAUUUUCCUUCCCUGAGAUUGCUUUUAUUCUUUGAUGGCUCCGCAAGAGAACAUUGACAUGCACUUGUAAAGAAGGAAUUGUUAACAGUGAACAAGGAAGGUUUAUUGAAUAUAAUUAGCGCGCACAUGACAGAACCGAUCAAUUUUAGUCCUUUUACUUUGUUAAUAAUAAUUUCCUGUUAUGUGCAAAACUUAGCCCACGCACAAGAGUGAAAUGCCAUUUUCAAAUUUAAUAAAGAUCGGCUAUUAUUGGUUCCAAACAAAAAUCAAUGAAAUAGACUAUUAGCUAGAGAAGUGGUCUUAAAUACUGCAACAUAUUCAUCCUAACUAAGCAACCACACCAAGUCACAUUCACACAAUGGAUGUAGCAACAUUUUCCAUCAACGACAAUAUAUUUUCCAAAUUUAUAAGCUCUUAAUUGGAUAAUUGUUAAGAAUAUUAUUAACAUCAUUAUCAAGAAUGGUACCACUUGGCUUUUAAUUUUCUCUAAAACCUGAAGUGGAAAUGUCAACCCAAUUUUCUAAGAAGCCACAUUCUUGUGGAGUUGUUAUUUCUACUUAUUCAGAUAUUCUAGAGAGAGAGAGAGAGAGAGAGAGAGAGAGAGAGAGAGAGAGAGAGAGAGAAAUUAAUGUCCACUACACACGUUUUAGACACUUGGUUGGUUCAUGUUUCUUUAAAAAACACACACUUGGUUGGUUCACAUCUAUUCUUUAAUUAAUAGAGUCACAAGUUCUAGUAGGUUUCUUUGUACAAUUCUCCUAGCUUGCACACCUUUUUUGAAUUUGAAAUUAUUGUUCAGGUGGGUUGCUAAAUUGAAUAUAUCUAAUUAAGUUCCAUCAAUUAUGCUGCACAAGUGUUGAAUAAAGAAUAAUAAGUGUAGACUAAUUAAGAUCAGUAGAUGAUGGUUUAAUUAAAAUAAAUAAAACUCCACAUGAGUUGACAUUUUGAGUAAUAAUAACAUAUUGCAUUUAUGCAGUUCUCAUCCACUGUAGAAUUAGUAAGAAGUUGCUUAAUUAACAUGAUUUUCAAUAAUUGAAUAUUUAAUUAUAAAAUAUUUAUAUUAAAUACAAAUCGCUGACAAUUUAAAUUUUUAGAAAAAAAUAAUAUUUUUAUAAAAAUCCAAUUGCGCCUCUAGUUUCAAAUGUUUGAAGUCCAGUAUAAUUUAAAGAAAAAUAAUUGUUUCACGCAAUUAAUCUAAUUUUUAUUUUACCGCUAAUUAAUGUAUUUGCACCAUUGAUCAUGACCAUUUCAUUUCUUUAAGCUCAAGCACACUCUAGUUACUUUCUAGAGGAGUUUAUAUAUGCCUUUGAUUUUUGUUUGCAGCAUAAAAUAUUUCCCACUAAUUUUUGACUUUGGACAAUGAUAAAUAUAAAUUAAGGAAGAUCUGCUAAGUCAACCCUAGCCAAUCAAUGAGUAAAUUAAGCAAAAUGUGCUGUACUGUAUAUGGAAAGUGCUAAGCUUCCAUAGCUUCUAUUAAAAAAAAUUAAAAAAAGAAAAAAUAAAUAAAUUAGCAUAUAACACUUUAAUUAAUUAUGAAGCUCUUAAAGGUGCGUUUGGUUCAAGUUAUCCUGGUAGAAUUACAAGCAAUCCUGUCAGGAUUACCGUGUUUGGUUCAUCCGCUCUGUAAUCUAGUCGGUAAUAUAGCAUUACAAAUCGAGCAGGAUUACACCAAAAAUAUUAACAAGAGAGGGGUCGUGUAUGUUGUAUUACUGAAAACCGGUAAUACUAUAUAUUAUAUAAAAUGACAAUUUUACCCUCUAACUCUCGAAACUCUUUCAAUAUGUUAUUUUAAAAAAAUUAAUUUAAAAUUUUGAAUUCUCAACUUUUAAUUUUUAAUUUUUAAUUUUUAAUUUUAAAUUUUUAAAUUUUUAAAUUUUAAUUUUUAAACUUCAAAUUUAAAUUUUAAAUUUUAAAUUAAAAUUAAAAUUUUAGAUUUUAAAUUAUAGGUUUUAAAUUUUAAAUUUUAAAUUUCAAAGUUCUCAGAUUUUAAAUUUCAAAUCUCAAAUCUCAAAUCUCAAAUUUUAAAUUUUAAAAUACAAAUUUGUAUUUUAAAUUCUGAAUUUUAAAUUUAGAUUUUAAUUUUUUAUUUUAUAUAUAUUUAUAUUUAUAUUUUAGAUUUUAAAUUUAGAAAUUUCAUAUUUAUAUUUUAAAUUAAAAUAUUAAAUUUAUAUUUUUGUUUAAAAUUUAAAUUUUAAAAUUUUAAAAAUUAAAUUAUUUUAAAAAAAAUUUGGUAAAAAAUUAUUGUUUGUAAACAGUAAAAAAAAGUUUACAAAAUAUAACUAAGAGCAAUUUUGAAAUAGACUAUAGUUUAUUGUUUAGAUUACUAAAUUUUAUAGGCAGAACCAAAUAUAAUAAUGCUUUAAACAUUGCAAUCCGGUAUUAUAUUACUGUAUUAAAUCAAACGCGCUAAUGCAGCAUCAGUAGUAAUCUCAUUUAGAAAUUCAAAAUAUCUGGAUAUAUCGAAAUACUCUGUAAUAUGACAUAACUCGAACCAAUCAGACCCUAAGUAAUAUUGUACAUAACGUCAGGGGUGACAUCACUAAUACCGUUUAUGCUAUCAUAAUCAGCGGCUAGUAUAGUGGUUGACAUGACAUUUUUUGAAAAAAAAAUUAUUUUUAUUAAGGAUAAAGUUGUUAAAUAAUACGAAACGCUGCACUUUAAAAUUUUAAAUUUAUAAAGAACGAUGUUUAAAUAUUUUCAUAUUUAAGACUUUCUCUCAUGUCUAGGCUGGAGAGAGCCUAGUGUGACUCGAACUUAGAACUUUUUACUUUAAUGCCAUAUUAAAUAAUACGAAAUAAACGUUAUAUUCUAAAAAUUUAAAUUAAUAAAAAAUAAUGUUUAAAUAUUUUUAUAUUUAACAAAAAUAGCAUGCUAUUCAGUACAUUCACGAAGAAAAUAAAUUAGGCUACAAGAGUGACGUAGCGAGGCCUCAAAGAGAAAUGCGGACCAAAAAAUAAAAUAAAAUAAAGAUGGUUAGUCUUUUAUAGACUUCUUAGAUUCCGUACAUCGAGCAAAAACCAUCUCAAGUCUCCGAUUUCGGAUCCGAAGGAUCCUCUUAUUUCAUUCCAACCACAAGGUUUGCCAUGUGGUCGCAACAGUUGUUAAUUCCUUCAUUGUUACCCUUUUUUUAGUGCUGUACACUUUCCAAAAACUAACAAUUGACGAGCACUAAUAAAGCUUGCGUUUAUUUGGCAUCCGGUAUUCUUUCAAACCCUUAAAGCACGCAUAGCCCACAAACAGAUGAUCCACUGUCUCUAGCUCGCGAAGCACAUCACAAAUUCUUUUUUUUCCUGGCCAACCUCUUUUUUGUAAGUUGUCUACUGUAAGCAUCUUCUUCCUCGAAACUAACUGAGCGAAAAUCUUAAUUUUCAGUAGGAUGUGCAGCGUCCAGACACUUGUGGCUUCAAAUUCCUAAUGUCACCGUCACGAAGCAAGUUAUACAUCGAUUUUACUCUAAACCCUAAAAUAUUAAACUUAUUAUUGUAACAAAAGCUACAGGAAACUUUUUAGGACUGAAAAAUAAAGCCCUAUAAUUAAUGAAGCUUCUGCUUCUGAAAGAAGCUGUUAAGGAAACUUAAUUUACAGAGACACCUGGUGAGAAAAUCAAAACAAAGGCUUUUUCUUGCACACAAGUAUUUACUCAUCUCACUUGCUUAACGGCCAAGAGCGCUUAGCUUAGUUAUUAUCCUUCUAGCUGUUUCUCUGACAUCAUAUGAAAGAGACCGCAGUGGAGAAGAAAAGUUCUGAAACAAAAUUAAUAAAAAUUCGCUCUCAUCUUCUGUGGAUCACUCGAUCAAACUUAUAUGAACGACACAUUAAUAAAAUAAUUUUAAAAUUAAUUUAGAGCUCGUCUGAUUCAUCUAUUGUAGACUCUAAAAUCAAAAUAAAAUUUAUUGAUUUUUAUAAUUAUUAUUUGGUUUCUAAAGUAAAAAUUAACCAAUUCGAUUUUAAAUCCUGAAUUGACUCAUUACAAAAAUAAAUCACUCAAUAUUCUCUAUUGCAAACACAUCUUUCGGCUCUCUUUUGAUCACUUUUUUUUUUUUUUUUUUUCCUUAAGUAUAUUCAUCUCUCAAAAUUCUAAAUAUUCCAAUCGUUUAUUCCGAUUUCCAUUGUGAUAAUAAAUCAAUCAAUUAUGAAUGAUUUGUCAUAUUUCAUUUUCAGUCCAAUGCUAUCAAAUUUCCAUUUUCAUUCUUUAUUUCAAACAUAAAUCAAACAUCAUGGUUUUAAAAAGCUCAAAUCUAGAGACUUUAAUUAUAAAUGGAAAUCGCUAAGGCCCUAUUAGGCAUUGUGACCCAUCUAGCACUAAUACAGAUAUGCCCUUUCAUUUUUUGCUAGCUAGAAUCCGACUAAUUAUGAUAUAUGGGACCAUAUUACAUGCGAAAAUAAAUAAAAUAUUUUUUUUAUCGUACUUUCUCACUGCAUAUCACCCAAUCUUUCUACAUUAAUCUCAAAUAAAGUUUAAGACUAAUCUACAAUAUCUAAAUAAUGUAAAUUAGAAUAAUUUAUUCAAUUAAUUCGAUAAUUUGAAUUGAUACAGUACUAAUUGAAUGAAGAGCAUCGAAUUAUUUUCUCCAGUAACUUCUAGUUAGAAGCUGAUCUUCUCUAGAAGAACUCUUGCAUGCAUUAAUUAUGAAAAAACUCGCAAACACGACUAAAUUGUUUUCCAAGCUAGGAAGGAUCUGCAAUGGAAAUCAGUUGCUAAGACUAGUCUCCGUAUUAAACAACUGCAGCUACCUUAAAUUUCUACCGAAGCUUCACGCGAUCCCCGCUGAGUCCUAAUUUCCUCGAAUCUAGUUCUCACGAGACCGAUACAGAACCCUUUUAGGCGCUCCAGAAUUAGAUUAGGCAGGAUAAAUAAAAUAAAAAAUGACGAAGGAUUCGAAUAAAAAUUCAGAAAAUAAAAAUACU